ACGCCUACGGGGGAUUUUUGGGUCGCAUUGCAUUCCAAAGACAGUUUGUUCACUCGUGUGUUUGUGAGUCACUCUUUGGUCGGAAAGUUUUUCAUCAAGACGCUAAAGGUGGAGACUGUGGUUCAUCUCAUUAAUGGAGGGAAACCUCAUGGAAUUGUUGUGAAACUCUCUGGAGAGACAGGAGAGAUUCUUGAGAUACUUGAGGACAGUGAAGGGAAGACGAUGAAGUAUGUUAGUGAAGCUUACGAGAGAGAAGAUGGCAACUUAUGGUUUGGGUCUGUGUAUUGGCCGGCCGUUUGGGUGCUUGAUAAAUCUGUUUACGCUCUCAAAUGAGUUAGCAAAUGCAAACAAAAAAGUAAUAAUUUGGUCGUAUGAUCUUCUUUUUUCUAACUUGUUAGAAGACAUGCAUCUUCGUUUGUAUCUUCUUGUUGUUGUGUGAAUGGACUUUGAUUCUGCGAAAUUUUGGUUCAGUUGAGUAAUUCAAUGUAGUUUUGUGGUAAAGCGAAAAUUGUGUUUGUGGUAAAAUGAUUUAUGAUGUACAUCUAGUUAAGGUUCUAGGUUAAUUUUUCCGUUUUGCUAGCAUCCCAUAAUUAAGCACUACUCUACUUGAACUGGUUUCUGAUCUGAAAUUUGAUUUGAUUAACCUGCUCAAUGUGAAUUAGUACUAGAGUUAAGCUCUCUUGCCACUUUUUAAUUUAAUGCACCACCAAAAGUGAUCAAAAAAAAGUUCUGCUAAAUGCUAAAGCCUAUCUCGUAUUUUUUUUUAAAAUUACAUAAUACAUUCAAAAGAGUUAGUUAUUAAUCUUAGCAUUUGGUGCAAUAUGAUCAGUGGGUGGGCUGAGUAUCAACAAUCAUAUAAAACUGAUUAAGAUUUUUGUCCAUUAAAUAUUCUCGUCCAUAACACACACACACAUAUAUAUAUAGUUUAACAGGUUCGUAGAUCCAAUUUUUCGUAUAAUUUUUUUAAUAUUAAAACCCGAAAACUUGAAUUCAUUUGACAAAUAAAUCCACGGUUACAACUAAAAUAUAAACAAACAAAAAUUAUUAAGAAGGAACAAAACUAUAUACAUGUAUGGGACCUUGUGGUCUAGUGGUAAAGAGAAUAACUUGGGAAGCCAACACGUUUCAGAUUUGAUCAACCUAUUGCGCGAACCUAAGUUACAUUCUUCAUGGAUAUCCAAAUGAAUAUGAGUUCUCGCUUUUGGGUCAUUUGAAAAUCGGGAGAGAAAGUAUUCAAGGACUGCAUUUUCUCUUGGAGAUUAGUCUGAACCCUUUGUCUCGAGAUAUCCCCAAAUUAAUAAAAAAUAGUUUAACUCUGUGAUGGUAAUUUUCAUUUAAAAAAAAAACUUUAUGUUUUUAAAUUUUUUUUUAAUGUAAGCUGAUAUAAGAAGUUUCAGUCAUAGAAAUUUAAAUGUAUUUGUUUACACUAAUCUUAGUCAUUUUUUAAAACAUGAUUUAAGAUAAAUUUCUAUUCAAAUUAGAUUUUCUAAAAUAUGAAAUAUGAAAACAUAUUCUAUUUUUUAGUUUUUGUUUAAAAGGAUACGAUAUGGCUCUAAAUUUUGAAUGUUCAAUAAAUGUAAAAAAAAAUUAAUGCCGAUUUUUAAAUCGGAUGUGUCAAGUCAAAAUUUUAUUAUUCAAUGUGUUUGACAAAAACAAUUGUCGUAAAUUUAAAGAUAUAUGGUUAUUUUGCGUUUGAUUCUGAUUUUAUAACAUAUUUAUAUUUGUUUUUAUUUUUAUUUUGUAACAUAUAAGAAGUUUCAGUUAGAUAAAUUUGAAUGUAAUUGUUUGCAAUAAUCUUAGUCAUUUCUUAAGAUAAAUUUAUAUCUGAUUAGAUUUUCUAUAAUAAGAAAUAUUCAAAUAUAUUAAACUUUAUACUUUAUGUUUAAAAUGAUAUAAUCGGGCUUUAAGUUUUAAAUGUUCCAAACAUGUAAAAUAUUUGAACACUUCUUUUUAAAUCAAAUAUUUCAAACUAAUUUUUUAUUAUUGAAUGUGUUUGAGAUAAAAUAUCAUAAAUUUAAAGAUAUAUUUCUAUUCAUAAUAUUUUUUAGAUUGUUUGAAAACUUAUAAUUAUUUUCCUUUUGAAUAAAAUUAGAACAAUCCUUUUUUUAUCUUUGAGAUUUUUGAAAUUUUUUUUUAAGAUGAUGAGUUUGUGAAGAAAAUAAUAUUUUGUGAUUGAUUCUGAUUUUAUAACAUCUUGAUAACCUAUUAUAAAGUACUUUAUACAUUCAUAAAAUAACUUACAAACCUUUUACAAAUUUUAGUAGGGGUUAUUGGUUGUUGUAUUUUAAUGGAUUUGAAAAUCCGAACCAAAUCUAGUGUUAUUGGUUCUGUGAUUUUAAAAUCUGUAUUAAAAUCAUGUGUUAUUGGUUUAAUGAUUCAUAAAUUCUAUAUUAAAUCAAGUGUUAUUCAAUCGUACGAAUUUACUAAUAUAUUUGAUUUUAUAAUGGAUUUGAAUGAAUUUGUUUGGAUUUUUUUGUUAAAAAUACAAAGACUCAAAUCCGAGGGAAAACCUUCGGAUUUGCAUAUUUUACUUGGAUUUAUAAAUACUAUAUGGAGUUAUAAAUCAAUCAAAAUAUAUAAACCAAUAACAAACCUUUAUGAAUAAUUUCACAGAACCCUUGUCCUCCGUCUUCUCUUUGCUGCUGUCUCGUCUUCUCGUGUUUCCUCGCCGUCUUUUCGCGAUUCAGGGGUAGAGUCUCAUUCCAGAGACGAGGUCCGAGUCGAGAGGAGUCUUCCGACUGGUGGUGGUUCUUCUUCUCCUGGUGUUUCGGCGCGGCGAAGACUGGUUCUCGAGACAGUGGUCGGCUUUUUAGUUUAUGAAAGCUGCUAGGUUUUUAUCUCUCGGCGCUUUUGGUUGUUACUAAACGAGCAGAGGACUGAGAGCUUCUCUUCUGUUCAUUUCAUCGGUCGUCUCUGCGGGUUUUUUCCAGGAGAUGGUGGCAACGGUGGAUCGUUCUUGACCUCUUCAAUGGUAUGUUGAAGAGCGAUGCGCCUUCUCCCUAGUCAAAAUGUGCGCUGGUGGGUCCUUUACCAUACUGGCGCACCCUGAACCUUUGUGUGCUGGUGUGAAGGUACUUAGUUCAGUUCCAGCUCGCGUUAGGGUGGUGAGUCGUCUGAAGGAGUCGUCUAUCGCUUCUCGGUGGCGGCUCACAGUUCUUCUUCACUUCCAAUCUCUUCUACUCAUCUCCUUCUCCUGUCAUCCGACUGAAGGUGGCCUCUUUCUUUGCGGAGCUUAGGCCUUUGUAUCACCUUGUUUUGUUUGGUUUCUGUUGAUACCAGAAGCCGCUCCUAGCAGCUCAGAUUAUUUUCCUUCGUUCUUGGAGGCUUCAAGUGUUGUGACGGUUCUUGGCUGAUGUCACACUUCGUCUAUGCUCACAUCCGAGAAUCGUAUAGGUUCACAUGAUCUUGUGCGGUGGUGCAGCUUGACUUGUCUGUGCAGGCUCGAGGUCCUUUUCAGGCUUGGGAGUGUUGGUGAUAACAACUCCGUUCUUGCAUUCAAGCAGCAGUAGCGGGUGUACAUCUCGUUUUUGAAACUCCGCUCAGGUAAGGGAUCUUUUGGAACUCCCGCUUUUUGUUGUUUCGAGCUUUAGUGUCGAAUUAGAUUAUUAACUUAGAUGAGAUCAUCGUAAGUUAGUUACUCCGGAGGCGACAUGGGAAGACCCUGGCAUCCGAGGAAACGAGGGGAAUCUCUCCUUCUCGUGGUUCUCAUUGAUGGUUGAGAACGAUUUUCAAUAGGAUUACGAAUCCGAGCUAGCGGAACGCGCCAUGUAUAUGGUCGAGCAAAGCUAGUUAAGAGCAUUUUGAUUUGAGAAAUUUUGUUUAGUCGAAGUUUGUAAUUGAAAUCUAUUCCCAUUUCGGGUUGAUAGAUAAAAUUUUAAUUUUUCUAUUAAAAAAAACUAUGUCUCUGUUUUUGUUACAUCUUGUUUGGAUUCGAAUAUGAUGCAGUACAAAAGCAGAAGAAACACAUGAGAAAUAGUCUUCAGUUUUAUCUGCAUUUUUUGUCUAUUCAUCGUUAAUAUGCAGAACAAAAGGAAAUAAUAUAAUAUUUAAUAAACUGUUUGUAAAUAAUUUUAUAUGUAAAAAAAAUUGUCCCCCAAACAUAGCAAAAUAAAAAGAUGACCAAAAACAUAGGGCCAAUAGGUGAUUUUUUUUUUCCUAAAAAUACUACACCCAUCUUAAUUUAUUGGAAAAUUGCCAAAAAUACAUUUUUGAAAGUACCACCUUUCAUGUUUACAAUAACCACUUUUACAUUCAUCUUUAAUGAACGGUAAAAGACAUUUAUACCCUUUUGAUUAAUUUUGACCAAAAAAAAACAUAUGGUUAACUAAUCUACACUUAAAACAUCGACUCUAAACCCUAAAUCAUCAACUCUAAACUCUAAACCCUAAACAUCAACUCUAAACCUUAAACCCCGAAACAUCAACUCUAAACCCAAAACCCUAAACCUUCAAAUCUAAACCCUAAAACAUCAACUCUAAACCCUAAACGUAAACACUGAACCCUGAAUCCUAUAUUUUUCUGAAAUUCGAACCCUAAACCCUAAAACCCUAAACCUUCAAAUCUAAACCCUAAAACAUCAACUUUAAACCCUAAAUGUAAACCCUAAACCUUAAAACCCUAAACCUUCAAAUCUAAACCCUAAAACAUCAACUCUAAGGUUUUAGGGUUUAGGGUUUAUUAUUUAGGGUUUAGGGUUUAGAGAUAAGGGUUUAGGGUUUAGAGUUGAUGUUUCAGGGUUUAGGGUUCGUAUUUUAAAAAAAAAGGUUUCAGGAUUGAUGGAAAUCUAAACCCUAAAACAUCAACUUUAAACCCUAAAUGUAAACCCUAAACCCUAAAACCCUAAACCUUCAAAUCUAAACCCUAAAACAUCAACUCUAAGGUUUUAGGGUUUAGGGUUUAUUAUUUAGGGUUUAGGGUUUAGAGAUAAAGGUUUAGGGUUUAGAGUUGAUGUUUUAGGGUUUAGAGUUGAUGUUUUAGGGUUUAGAGUUGAUGUUUUAGGGUUUAGGGUUUAGAGUUUACUUUUUAGGGUUUAGGGUUUAGUGUUGAUAGUGUUGGGUUUAGUGUUGAUGGUUUAGAGUUUAGAGUUGAAGUUUAGGGUUUAGGGUUUAGAGUUGAUGUUUUAGGGUUUAGAGUUGAAGGUUUAGGGUUUAGGGUUUAGGGUUUAGAGUUGAUGUUUUGGGGUUUAGGGUUUAGAGUUGAUGUUUCUGGGUUUAGGGUUUAGAGUUGAUGUUUCAGGGUUUAGGGUUCGUAUUUUAAAAAAAAAGGUUUCAGGAUUGAUGGUUUAGGGUUUAGGGUUGAGUUUUAGGGUUUAGAGUUUGAAUUUCGAAAUAGUAUAAUUUAUUUAAAUAUUUUUGUAAUAUGUAUUUUUUAUAUAUAUAAAGAAUAAGGGCAGAAGAGUCUUUUGCCACUUAACGAAGAAUGUAUUUUUGAAAAUGUAUUUUUUGUGGAGGUAAAAAUGAAAAUUGGUAGCAUGAAAGUGGUAAAUAUGUCAGUUUCCCAUUUAUUGGAAAAUUGCCAAAAAUACAUUUUUCAAAGUACCACCUUUCAUGUUUACACUAACCACUUUUACAUUCAUCUUUAAUGAAGGGUAAAAGACAUUUAUACUCUUUUGAUUAAGUUUGACAAAAAAAAACAUAUGGUUAACUAAUCUAAACUUAAAACAUCAACUCUAAACCCUAAACCAUGAAACAUCAACUCUAAACCCUAAACCCCGAAACAUCAACUCUAAACCCUAAACCCUAAACCAUCAAAUCUAAACCCUAAAACAUCAACUCUAAACCCUAAACGUAAACAUUGAACCCUGAACCCUAUAUUUUUCUGAAAUUCCAACCCUAAACCUUCAAAUUUAAACCCUAAAACAUCAACUCUAAACCCUAAACCCUAAACUUUCAACUCUAAACCCUAACACAUCAACUCUAAACCCUAAACCCUAAACCAUCAAAUCUAAACCCUAAAACAUCAACUCUAAGGUUUUAGGGUUUAGGGUUUAUUAUUUAGGGUUUAGGGUUUAGAGAUAAAGGUUUAGGGUUUAGAGUUGAUGUUUUAGGGUUUAAAUUUGAAGGUUUAGGGUUGGAAUUUCAGAAAAAUAUAGGGUUCAGGGUUCAAUGUUUACGUUUAGGGUUUAGAGUUGAUGUUUUAGGGUUUAGGGUUUAGUGUUGAUAGUUUAGGGUUUAGAGGUGAAGUUUAGGGUUUAGGGUUUAGAGUUGAUGUUUUAGGGUUUAGAGUUGAAGGUUUAGGGUUUAGGGUUUAGGGUUUAGAGUUGAUGUUUUGGGGUUUAGGGUUUAGAGUUGAUGUUUCUGGGUUUAGGGUUUAGAGUUGAUGUUUCAGGGUUUAGGGUUCGUAUUUUAAAAAAAAAGGUUUCAGGAUUGAUGGUUUAGGGUUUAGGGUUGAGUUUUAGGGUUUAGAGUUUGAAUUUCGAAAUAGUAUAAUUUAUUUAAAUAUUUUUGUAAUAUGUAUUUUUUAUAUAUAUAAAGAAUAAGGGCAGAAGAGUCUUUUGCCACUUAACGAAGAAUGUAUUUUUGAAAAUGUAUUUUUUGUGGAGGUAAAAAUGAAAAUUGGUAGCAUGAAAGUGGUAAAUAUGUCAGUUUCCCAUUUAUUGGAAAAUUGCCAAAAAUACAUUUUUCAAAGUACCACCUUUCAUGUUUACACUAACCACUUUUACAUUCAUCUUUAAUGAAGGGUAAAAGACAUUUAUACUCUUUUGAUUAAGUUUGACAAAAAAAAACAUAUGGUUAACUAAUCUAAACUUAAAACAUCAACUCUAAACCCUAAACCAUGAAACAUCAACUCUAAACCCUAAACCCCGAAACAUCAACUCUAAACCCUAAACCCUAAACCAUCAAAUCUAAACCCUAAAACAUCAACUCUAAACCCUAAACGUAAACAUUGAACCCUGAACCCUAUAUUUUUCUGAAAUUCCAACCCUAAACCUUCAAAUUUAAACCCUAAAACAUCAACUCUAAACCCUAAAUGUAAACCCUAAACCUUCAAAUAUAAACCCUAAAACAUCAACUCUAAGGUUUUAGGGUUUAGGGUUUAGGGUUUAUGAUUUAGGGUUUAGGGUUUAGGGUUUAGAGAUGAAGGUUUAGGGUUUAGAGUUGAUGUUUUAGGGUUUAGGGUUUAGUGUUGAUAGUUUAGGGUUUAGAGGUGAAGUUUAGGGUUUAGGGUUUAGAGUUGAUGUGUUAGGGUUUAGAGUUGAAAGUUUAGGGUUUAGGGUUUAGAGUUGAUGUUUCGGGGUUUAGGGUUUAGAGUUGAUGUUUCAGGGUUUAGGGUUCGUAUUUAAAAAAAAAGGUUUGAGGAUUGAUGGUUUAGGGUUUAGGGUUUGAAUUUCGAAAUAGUAUAAUUAAUUUAAAUAUUUUUGUAAUAUGUAUUUUUUAUAUAUAUAAAGAAUAUGCGCAGAAGAGUCUUUUGCCACUUAAUGAAGAAUGUAUUUUUGAAAAUAUAUUUUUUGUGGUGGUAAAAAUGAAAAGUGGUAGCAUGAAAGUGGUAAACAAGUAAUUUCCCCUAAUUUAUUUCAUUUAUUAACCAAAAAAACUAUAUAAUAUUUUUGUAAACAAUUAUAUAUUUUUUACUUGAUAUAUUCAUAAAUUUAACUUAAUUUUCUGUAUAAAUAUUUAUAUAGUUACACUAAAUAAUUUUAUAUAAUAUUUAAAUAAAUAUAAAAACAUAUAUGGUUGGUUUUAUUUUUCUUAUUGAUAACAAUUAACAUAAAUUUUCCUAAUUAACAGUUAUGUACAAAAAGAAAAUUCAUCUUAUAAGAUUUUUAUAGAAAUCAGUAUUUAAAUGAAUUCAUGCGUUUUAUUAACUGAUUAUAUUUAAAAUUUUAAAUAGUUAUUUUAUUAUCCUUCAUAUUUUAGACAAUGAAAUUUCGUAUAUAAUUUCUUUUUUUUAUCAUACAUAUAUAUAUUAUAAGACAUUCAUGUAUUUUUAUCCUUUGUUUGUUUAACUGGUUUUUCAUAUUUCAGGUUAUUUAUAUCCACAAAAAUAAUUGCAAAAUAAAAGUACAUUUUCAAUUUGUUUCUUAAGUGAAUUAUAUAUUUUAAAUAUGUUUAAAAUAAGAUAUUUGGAGUUUAGAAAAGGAAACCUUAUAACAAACAUUAGAUAAAUUAUUGCAAAUAUGUUAUGCACAAACAAAAAUACUCUAUAUGAAUUUUUCAGUUUAAUUGUAUGUUGUAAUUGUAUUUAUUUUUACAUAAUGUUUAAAUUUUCAUCGUAUUUAAUAAAAUAAUAAUAUUAAUUGUUUAUAUAUAAGAAUUUGUAAUUUUAUUUUAAAUAUUUAAAUUAUAUAUUUAUUUAUUUUUACAUUCUUUUAAAUAUGAUAAUUUUGUAAAUUAGUUUAACUAGUUCGAUCUACAUUUGUUUUGCAAAUUUAUUUGCUCUGCAAAUUUAAAUGAUUUGUAUUUGUUCUAUUUGAUAUGCAUAAAUAUGUUUGAUCCACAUAUUUUUUUGAUCUGCGUCCCCAUUAAUCGUCGGUGGUGUUUCCUAUUGGUACAGUAACAAAAACGAGUCAUUGGUCCCUUGUUCUGAGUGUUUUUCUGAGAAAGAAUAGUUUAGUAUUAUCGAGACUAGUGGCCUAGAAAACAUUGUAUGGGUCAAAGAUCAAGAAAGUUUUGUUCAGAAAAGAAACAGUAUAAAGACAAAAGGUAGAAAACAUUGUAAGCCUUUUUGGUUAAAGAGAACACUAAUAUGUACCUGCUCAACGUGUGUAACGAGUGUUGUGUCCGAAACACUUGAAAAAGAAUAUCUGUUUUAUCUAUUUAAUAGAGUAAUCAAGUGCACUAUCAUCAUUCACAUAACAACUUCUCCUGAGAGACAAGAGAGAUGCCGAUUAGCCAGAGAGUUCUGAAGCAGGUUGCAGCCUUUCCGGUUGUUUUAGCCAUCGUUUGCUAUUUCUUCUGGCCAUCAAUCAUCGCGCCGGACCUCCUAAAGGGCACGAAGGACGUUCUCCAAAUGGCUAAGACCAUUCCUCUCCCUGGUGAUGGACCAGAGAGCUUAGAAUUUGAUUCACAAGGUGAAGGCCCUUACGUUGGCGUCACUGACGGUCGCAUCCUCAAAUGGCGCGGUGAAGAGCUAGGCUGGGUUGAGUUUGCCUACUCUUCUCCUCACAGGUUCAUUCCUAACAAAAAGUUGCCAACCUUCCUAUGUUUUCGUUGUUCCAUAACUAGUCGUCCAAUAUAUUUUCAUCAAUGUCCAACAAAUCAUUUAGUAAUUAAACGUUUUAUAGGGGAUUAAUUAGGGUAUAGGUGGGCGCCUAUACGCUGUCUAAACCGAUUUUGAAAAAUAGUUCUAGAAAUCUUUUCGCUUAAGACUAAUUUAUUUAUGACCGAUUUGUUAGAACAUUGAUUUUCAAUAACCUUGCUAGUGAAUCUGACCCGCUUUUUUGUUUUGGUGAGUGAAGAGAUAACUGUUCGAGGCAUAAAGUAGUUCCAAGUUGUGGGAGACCAUUGGGACUUAGCUUCCAUAAGAAAACAGGAGAUCUGUACUUUUGUGAUGGUUACUUUGGUGUCAUGAAGGUCGGACCAAAGGGAGGCUUCGCCGAGUUAGUUGUUGAUGAAGCCGAAGGUCGCAAAGUCAUGUUUGCGAACCAAAUGGAUAUAGACCAAGAAGAAGACGUCUUCUACUUCAAUGAUAGCAGCGAUAAAUACCACUUCGAGUAAUUAAAAUUACACAUUCGUUAAUUUAAAUUCACGGUCUUAAUAUUUUUUAUCUGGUUGGUAACAUUAGCAAAACGUGGAAAUGCCAAUAAAAAUAAAAUGAAUAAUAAAUAAACUAUAGAAUAGAUUAACAGAAUGUGACAUAGCUAAUAUAUCUAAAAUAUGAUCGUAUUUUUUUUUUGAUCAAACAAACAUAUAUACAUGUAACCAACUUGUGUAUGUGUUAUGUUUGUUUUGUUGGACAGGCAAGUGUUCUACGUGUAUAUGUCAGGGGAGAAGACAGGAAGAGUAAUUAAAUACGAUAUGAAGAAGAAAGAGGCCACAGUUAUAAUGGACAAACUUCAUUUACCUAAUGGUUUAGCUCUAAGCAAGGACGGAUCCUUUGUACUCACCUGCGAAAGUGGUACAAAUACUAUCCACAGAAUAUGGGUCAAAGGUCCCAAAGCCGGGACCAAUGAGGUUUUCGCAAAGAUCCCGGGUCCUAUGGACAAUAUCCGACGCACGCCUACGGGGCAUUUUUGGGUCGCACUGCAUUCCAAAGACAGUUUGUUUACUCGUGUGUUUCUUAGUCACUCUUUUGUUGGAAAGUUUUUCAUCAAAACGCUGAAGGUGGAGACUGCGAUUCAUCUCGUUAAUGGAGGGAAACCUCAUGGAAUUGUUGUGAAACUCUCUGGAGAGACAGGAGAGAUUCUGGAGAUACUUGAGGACAGUGAAGGGAAGACGAUGAAGUAUGUUAGUGAAGCAUAUGAGAGAGAAGAUGGCAAGUUAUGGAUUGGGUCUGUGUAUUGGCCGGCCGUUUGGGUUCUUGAUAAAUCUGUUUACGGUCUCAAAUGAGCUAGUAAUUUGGUGGUAUGAUCUUCUUUUUAACUUGUUAGAAGACAAGCAUCUUCUUUUGUAUUUUCUUGUUGUUGUGCGAGUGGACUUUGAUUCUGAAGUUUUGAGUUGAGUUGUUUAAUGGAGUUUUGUGGGAUUUUAUAAAUUUUGUCAGGUGGUUAAAAAGAAAAUUUUGUGGGAUUUUAUAAAUUUUGUCAGGUGAUAAACCAUCUACAAAUAUAUAUAUAUAUUUUUAAAAUAGUUUCUCAUAAUUUGGUAACAUUUAAAAAUUAGCACCAAAGAUAUACACGAAAUCAAAAUAUACCCAAAAAUCCGUGAUAAACUAUAAAUAUCAAACAUCACAAAAUAUAUCCAAAAACCAAAACUAGAUCGAAUACAUACAUAAUUUAAUUUAUUACUUAUUUUUGGUGUCACAAUAUAUUUUAAAAUCUCAUUUUUUUUUUUUUUUGUUUUCUUGGAAUUUCUCUUAUAUUUUAGGUUUUGAGUAUAUUUUAUGUAUUUAAUAUAUUUAAAUAUUCUCGUUAUUUGAAUAUAUUUUGAUAAUUUUUUAUUGUUUAUAUAAUCAUAUAUUUAAUUUAACCAUGGUCCAAGCGGCGAUGCGAAAGGCGAUCUAGUGUUCUAGGGUUUCGAUGAUUCAAAGGUAUUGGGAUCCUGGGAUUAGAGAGGAGGAGAGGUUAACGGGUCGAUUUGAAUCGGAGAUUCGAUUUGGAGAUGGGAUUCUCCAAGGUCGGAAGGCUGAAGAUGGAAACUCGAGAUUUUCUUUUGAUUUUGGAUGGGUUGGUUUGAUCGAGGUUACGAUGAAGAUGGAGAUUUGGAUUUGGCGAAAACUAAGGAUUACGAGGAUCGGGAUUUUGAUUUUAAUUUCGAUCAUCAUCAAGACGAAAUUGAAUCAAGAAGAAAACGUAUCUUUUCUCUUUCCUUUAGUUUGAUCAAUCAGAGAUGUGGAGAUACGAAGAUAUCCCGAAAAGUGUUUCAGAAGGAAAGUUAUAAUGUCCUGGUACGAGAAAUGUGGGAUUGUAGAAUGAGUUUGUGGUUAAUGGGAUUAUUACGGGAGAUUGAUUCUGUUAUCAUGAAUCAAAGAGAAAUUAAGGAAAAUUGUGGGAGCCCUAGGAUGAGGAUUUGGGAUCAGUAUAAAAGGAAGAAGGGGUUCUAUACUUGGAUCAUAUACCUUGUAACUUUCUCUCUUGCUAUUGACAAAGAUCAAAGCUUUAUUCUUUUUCUUUUGGCUAUGACACAGAGUCAACUUUUGAGCAAUGUGGGGGAGGUGAAGAACGGAGAAGGAACUCGCAGAAGAUUUCAGUGCCCCAUUUCGAUAAUUCAGCUCUCAUCAAGACUUUUUCCAAAACUCUUAUUGGAAGAUGUAUGAAUCCGGAGGAGCAGGAGAUGAAGGCUCUGAUCUCGAAUCUCCCGAAGAUAUGGAAAUUUGAGGAGAGGGUUGUUGGCUCGGAUUUGGGUUUUGAGAAGUUCCAGUUUGACUUCGAAAAGGAGGAGGACAUGGAGGGGGUUCUUAAGCUUCAACCUAUUCAUUUUGAUUACUGGAUGUUGUCCUUGGCGCGGUGGCAACCUAACAAGUCCUUGCUCUACCCGUCGGAGAUAACAUUUUGGGUUAGAGUCAUAGGAGUCCCGUGGGAGUUCAAAACGGAACCCACUUUUGAGAGCAUUGGUGACGCCAUAGGAAGGACAGUGGCUGUAGAUUUGGAUCACUCUCGCGUGCAAGUGGUGGUUGAUGCUUUUAAUGAGCUGUGUUUUGAAACCACGGUAGACUUCACUGGUGGGGAGUUUUAUGAUGGAGAGGAAGCUCCGGUAUCGCUGCUGUAUGAGAAGCUGUUUGGAUAUUGUCAAGUGUGUGGUAGUCUGUGCCAUAAAGAUGAAGUCUGUCCCUUAGAUGUGAAGAACAUCAAGAAGAGCCCAGAAAAGAAACGAGAAGGAAGAGAAGGUAAUGGUGCUUGGUACGAUGGAGGGAAGUAUGAUGAUCGCGCAAGGAGUUAUAAAGGUGUAGUCAUUAAUGGAAACGCGAAUCAACAGAAUAAAGAAAGAGAAGGCCGGGAGUAUUAUGGCAAAAGUAAGGGCAAGAUGGGGGAGGAAACAUAUUCUAAAUGGAUGAAGGUGUCAGAGAGAGGAAGUAAGAGAGCCUACACUAACCGUGGAACUUAUAGAGGAGAUGGGGAAGCUUCUCGGCACAGACCUGCGAGGAGAGAGGACUCAAGGCCUGGCGCUAAGAGUGGACAAAUUCGACCCUCUUCAGGACAGACUAGGGAGCAACAGCCUCAACAAGAUGCUCGUGAGGAAGUUCGAGAGGAGGUUGAGAUCAGGUCCGCUGAGGAGUCUCGCGCAAUGCCACCUUCUCAAGCGUUUCAAGUGGAACUGGCCAAAUCUCAGGCUGAGGGAACGACAGUCAUCUCGGAUCCUAUUGAUGUGGACCAAGGGUUGGCAGCGGUACAUGGUAUGCAGGAGGAUCAUGUGGACUUAGAAGAUGAGGAUGUAAUGGACAUGGAUGAGAUUAAGGCUCAUCUACUUGAGAAUGAUAUAGAUAUGGAUGCAAAGGAUUUUUUAGAGAAGCUAGAAGAGGAGGAAACUAAGGAAGUGGGCAAGAAACAGAAAGAGGAGAACAAUGCUCAAGAGACAGACGAGGUGGUGUUUGUGGAAGAAGAGCAAGGCACGCUUGGUGGAGAUGCGGUGAAGAAACCAGGAUUACGUAAGAGUCUAUUCAAGCCGUCGACCGGUACUGCGGGAAGUACUAAAAUGAGAGCGUUCAAUGCGCUUGCGUCACCACGUAAGCGAGCUGCAGAGAGGCCAGGAACACGACACGGAGAUACCACCAAUCAAGCAGAGAGUAAGGGUGCUUCAAACCCGAAACUUGGAAAUCAGAGGAUCUGAUUUAUGGUUAGAGUCUUUUCUCAAGGUUUUUCAAGCAGGCAGGGCCUGUCUUAUGAUUUAGGUUGUUUUCUGGUUUUAAUAAGCUCUAUGAGCACUUGCAUUUUUUCUGUUUCUAAGAGUUGUAAGCGUCUGGUCUUACUGCGGUUUUAUGGUGGCUGUUAAGGGAUUUCUUUGAGGAAAAGCAAUGGAAUAAUAAAACAGUCUUGUGUUAUUGGUUUUGUCGUCUAACUAUGGUAAUGAAUUCUUGUAAUCGUUUUGGUUAUAUAGAUGGAUAUAGGAUUAGAAUGUGGGAUGAUGGUCUCGUUGGUUUGGAAAGGAAUCAGAGACAUAAUAGUCUUGUGGCGGGAAGGCGUCUGGUGAGUUUGUCAGAUUGUAGGAGGCGUCUGGUGAGUUUGUUAGGUUUCCAGUGGUGGCACAUGAAGUUAGGAGUUUUGGGUUUUAUCAUUUUUGCAUUGGGGACCACAGACUGUUUUAUAGUUUUGGUAUGUUACUUAUUUGGCAGAGUGAGAUCUCUUUUGUUAAUAGAUGUUCAAUGUUUGGAGAGGUUCUGGUUUAUUGGAUAUGGUGUUGCAGGUUUCUCUUUUAAGAAUAGCUUGAGGGGUUUGGAUUAUCUUAUUGUCUCUGAUACGGUGCGCGAACGUGUUGUGUCCUUGGUAUCAUCAAACCAGGAUCAGUUACUGAUUGGAUGGAGGGGAUUAUAUUAUGAUGCAUAUGCAAUGCGAGCUGAGGUUUUUUUCUCAAACCAAGAAGACAGUGGGUGUUGGUUUUUUAGUGAAACAAACUGGUUUCAAGUGGGAGUGGGUGGUUUUGCGUAUAAAAUGUGUGGCUUUGGUGGGUUACAAGACUGUAGUUUUUUUCUCGUUUAUGGAAUCGAUUUUGUAUUAUUAUGGAGGCUAAGUGAUAGAAAUUGGACAGUAUUAGUGGUAUCAUUUUCGAUUAUUAUGGGAUGGUUCAGAUCACAAAGAAAGGAAAAUAGUUGGAUUGUGGAAAUAGGGUAUCAUUACACCCAUAGACACUCGGCUCUCAGAGCAAAUAAAGAAUAAAUUUUUUAAAUGCGGGUUUUGAGUUGGAAUUGCCGAGGGAUGUGAAGUAAGUGAACUCUAAGCUAUUUGAGCGAGAUAAGGUAUAAACAUAAACCGGAUUUAUUGUUUUUAUCAGAGACAAAACAAGAUUCAGAGUUUGUCCAAAAAUGGCAAGCUCACUUUGGAUUCGAUAACCUAGUCACUAUAGACCCAGUGGGGAGAAGUGGCGGAUUAGCGCUUUUCUAUAAUAAUAAGUAUCAGGUAAAGGUAUUAUAUUCUAGUAACCGAAUGAUUGAUGUGGAAGCGGAAGUCCUGGGCAAAACGGUCUAUCUUACAUUUGUAUAUGGGGACCCAGUUCAAAAAAUGCGGGAACAAGUAUGGGAACAGUUAACUUGAUAUGGACUGGCGAGAUCCGACCCCUGGUUUAUUAUUAGGGAUCUCAACGAGAUUACUGGAAAUCAUGAAAAAGAUGGUGGGGCUAUAAGGAGUGCAGAUUCUUUUAUUCCUUUCAAUAAUAUGAUAAGAAAUAGUGGUCUGGUAGAAUUUCCGGCUAGGAGAAAUAAAAUGUCAUGGCAAAGGAGAAGAGGAAAAGGGAAAGGGGCAGUGAUGGUUCGAUGCCGUUUGGACCGUGCGCUAACAAAUGAAGAAUGACAUACCCUAUUUACAUGUUCCUUUACAGAGUAUUUUGGGAUGGUGGCUUCUGAUCAUCGUCCAGUGGUAGCUUAUAUGGAAGAAAAAGGUCCCAGACGGAAAUGACAAUUUCGGUUUGAUAAGAGGUGGAUUGGGCUAGAGGGUCUCCUAGAAUCAAUUACAAUGGGUUUGAUAGAUUCUAAUGAAGAAAUAGUAGGGGGGGGGGGGGGGGGCAGAGAGCAUAGUGGCAAAAAUUAGUAACUGUCGUCAUGAAAUUGCAAAAUGGCGGAAAAAUAAUUCACCUUAUGGAAAAAAAAAAUAAAUGAGUUACAACAAGCACUUGAAGAGGUGCAAACAAAUAAUACUAGGUCUCAAGAGGAUAUUCUGGAGGUGUCUAGGAAAUUACAAGACGCAUAUAAGGAUGAAGAAGAUUACUGGCAUCAAAAAAGUAGGAACAUGUGGUAUUCAUCUGGGGAUCUGAAUACAAAAUUUUAUCAUGCUUUAACUAAGCAACGGAGAGUUCGCAAUAGAAUUGUUGGAUUACAUGAUGCUAAUGGGAAUUGGAUUACAGAGGAUAAUGGUGUGGAAAAGGUGACAGUGGACUAUUUCGAAGAUUUAUUUACUACCACCUCCCCAUCGGAAUUUGAUAGUUUCCUGAUAGAGAUUACACCGGGCAUCACUCCUCAGAUGAAUCAACGCUUGUUGAAGCUAGCGACGGAGGAGGAGGUUAAAGAGGCUUUGUUUAUGAUGCACCCAGAAAAGGCGAUUAACAAUAUUUAUAUGAUACUAAAAACGGAGAGACCUACAAGGAUGACGGAACUGAGGCCAAUCAGUCUCUGUAAUGUAGGAUAUAAAAUCAUUUCUAAGGUCUUGUAUCAGCGUUUGAAAAUAUGUCUUCCCUUACUCAUUUCCGAGACUCAAUCUGCAUUUAUGGCAGGAAUAUUGAUUUCUGAUAAUAUUCUUAUCGCCCAGGAAAUGUUUCGCGGAUUGCGGAUAUCGGGUUCUUAUAAAUGGUCAACCACGUGGCCUCAUUGUACCACAUAGGGGUUUACGUCAAGGAGAUCAUUUAUCGCCUUAUUUAUUUAUUCUCUGCACUGAGACUUUAAUUGCAAAUAUAAAAAAGACAGAGAGAGGACAACAAAUUAUGGGAAUGAAGGUAGCUCGAGCUUGCCCAUCGAUUUCUCAUUUGCUUUUUGCGGAUGAUAGUCUUUUCUUUUGUAGAGCUCAAAAAGAAGAGUGUCAAACAAUCCUUAGGAUUUUAAAGGAAUAUGAGGCAAUUUCAGGGCAGCUAAUAAAUUUUGAUAAGUCUUCCAUUCAAUUUGGAUAUAAGAUUGAAGUAGGAUUGAUGGUUUAGGGUUUAGGGUUGAGUUUUAGGGUUUAGAGUUUGAAUUUCGAAAUAGUAUAAUUUAUUUAAAUAUUUUUGUAAUAUGUAUUUUUUAUAUAUAUAAAGAAUAAGGGCAGAAGAGUCUUUUGCCACUUAACGAAGAAUGUAUUUUUGAAAAUGUAUUUUUUGUGGAGGUAAAAAUGAAAAUUGGUAGCAUGAAAGUGGUAAAUAUGUCAGUUUCCCAUUUAUUGGAAAAUUGCCAAAAAUACAUUUUUCAAAGUACCACCUUUCAUGUUUACACUAACCACUUUUACAUUCAUCUUUAAUGAAGGGUAAAAGACAUUUAUACUCUUUUGAUUAAGUUUGACAAAAAAAAACAUAUGGUUAACUAAUCUAAACUUAAAACAUCAACUCUAAACCCUAAACCAUGAAACAUCAACUCUAAACCCUAAACCCCGAAACAUCAACUCUAAACCCUAAACCCUAAACCAUCAAAUCUAAACCCUAAAACAUCAACUCUAAACCCUAAACGUAAACAUUGAACCCUGAACCCUAUAUUUUUCUGAAAUUCCAACCCUAAACCUUCAAAUUUAAACCCUAAAACAUCAACUCUAAACCCUAAAUGUAAACCCUAAACCUUCAAAUAUAAACCCUAAAACAUCAACUCUAAGGUUUUAGGGUUUAGGGUUUAGGGUUUAUGAUUUAGGGUUUAGGGUUUAGGGUUUAGAGAUGAAGGUUUAGGGUUUAGAGUUGAUGUUUUAGGGUUUAGGGUUUAGUGUUGAUAGUUUAGGGUUUAGAGGUGAAGUUUAGGGUUUAGGGUUUAGAGUUGAUGUGUUAGGGUUUAGAGUUGAAAGUUUAGGGUUUAGGGUUUAGAGUUGAUGUUUCGGGGUUUAGGGUUUAGAGUUGAUGUUUCAGGGUUUAGGGUUCGUAUUUAAAAAAAAAGGUUUGAGGAUUGAUGGUUUAGGGUUUAGGGUUUGAAUUUCGAAAUAGUAUAAUUAAUUUAAAUAUUUUUGUAAUAUGUAUUUUUUAUAUAUAUAAAGAAUAUGCGCAGAAGAGUCUUUUGCCACUUAAUGAAGAAUGUAUUUUUGAAAAUAUAUUUUUUGUGGUGGUAAAAAUGAAAAGUGGUAGCAUGAAAGUGGUAAACAAGUAAUUUCCCCUAAUUUAUUUCAUUUAUUAACCAAAAAAACUAUAUAAUAUUUUUGUAAACAAUUAUAUAUUUUUUACUUGAUAUAUUCAUAAAUUUAACUUAAUUUUCUGUAUAAAUAUUUAUAUAGUUACACUAAAUAAUUUUAUAUAAUAUUUAAAUAAAUAUAAAAACAUAUAUGGUUGGUUUUAUUUUUCUUAUUGAUAACAAUUAACAUAAAUUUUCCUAAUUAACAGUUAUGUACAAAAAGAAAAUUCAUCUUAUAAGAUUUUUAUAGAAAUCAGUAUUUAAAUGAAUUCAUGCGUUUUAUUAACUGAUUAUAUUUAAAAUUUUAAAUAGUUAUUUUAUUAUCCUUCAUAUUUUAGACAAUGAAAUUUCGUAUAUAAUUUCUUUUUUUUAUCAUACAUAUAUAUAUUAUAAGACAUUCAUGUAUUUUUAUCCUUUGUUUGUUUAACUGGUUUUUCAUAUUUCAGGUUAUUUAUAUCCACAAAAAUAAUUGCAAAAUAAAAGUACAUUUUCAAUUUGUUUCUUAAGUGAAUUAUAUAUUUUAAAUAUGUUUAAAAUAAGAUAUUUGGAGUUUAGAAAAGGAAACCUUAUAACAAACAUUAGAUAAAUUAUUGCAAAUAUGUUAUGCACAAACAAAAAUACUCUAUAUGAAUUUUUCAGUUUAAUUGUAUGUUGUAAUUGUAUUUAUUUUUACAUAAUGUUUAAAUUUUCAUCGUAUUUAAUAAAAUAAUAAUAUUAAUUGUUUAUAUAUAAGAAUUUGUAAUUUUAUUUUAAAUAUUUAAAUUAUAUAUUUAUUUAUUUUUACAUUCUUUUAAAUAUGAUAAUUUUGUAAAUUAGUUUAACUAGUUCGAUCUACAUUUGUUUUGCAAAUUUAUUUGCUCUGCAAAUUUAAAUGAUUUGUAUUUGUUCUAUUUGAUAUGCAUAAAUAUGUUUGAUCCACAUAUUUUUUUGAUCUGCGUCCCCAUUAAUCGUCGGUGGUGUUUCCUAUUGGUACAGUAACAAAAACGAGUCAUUGGUCCCUUGUUCUGAGUGUUUUUCUGAGAAAGAAUAGUUUAGUAUUAUCGAGACUAGUGGCCUAGAAAACAUUGUAUGGGUCAAAGAUCAAGAAAGUUUUGUUCAGAAAAGAAACAGUAUAAAGACAAAAGGUAGAAAACAUUGUAAGCCUUUUUGGUUAAAGAGAACACUAAUAUGUACCUGCUCAACGUGUGUAACGAGUGUUGUGUCCGAAACACUUGAAAAAGAAUAUCUGUUUUAUCUAUUUAAUAGAGUAAUCAAGUGCACUAUCAUCAUUCACAUAACAACUUCUCCUGAGAGACAAGAGAGAUGCCGAUUAGCCAGAGAGUUCUGAAGCAGGUUGCAGCCUUUCCGGUUGUUUUAGCCAUCGUUUGCUAUUUCUUCUGGCCAUCAAUCAUCGCGCCGGACCUCUUAAAGGGCACGAAGGACGUUCUCCAAGUGGCUAAGACCAUUCCUCUCCCUGGUGAUGGACCAGAGAGCUUAGAAUUUGAUUCACAAGGUGAAGGCCCUUACGUUGGCGUCACUGACGGUCGCAUCCUCAAAUGGCGCGGCGAAGAGCUAGGCUGGGUUGAGUUUGCCUACUCUUCUCCUCACAGGUUCAUUCCUAACAAAAAGUUGCCAACCUUCCUAUGUUUUCGUUGUUCCAUAACUAGUCGUCCAAUAUAUUUUCAUCAAUGUCCAACAAAUCAUUUAGUAAUUAAACGUUUUAUAGGGGAUUAAUUAGGGUAUAGGUGGGCGCCUAUACGCUGUCUAAACCGAUUUUGAAAAAUAGUUCUAGAAAUCUUUUCGCUUAAGACUAAUUUAUUUAUGACCGAUUUGUUAGAACAUUGAUUUUCAAUAACCUUGCUAGUGAAUCUGACCCGCUUUUUUGUUUUGGUGAGUGAAGAGAUAACUGUUCGAGGCAUAAAGUAGUUCCAAGUUGUGGGAGACCAUUGGGACUUAGCUUCCAUAAGAAAACAGGAGAUCUGUACUUUUGUGAUGGUUACUUUGGUGUCAUGAAGGUCGGACCAAAGGGAGGCUUCGCCGAGUUAGUUGUUGAUGAAGCCGAAGGUCGCAAAGUCAUGUUUGCGAACCAAAUGGAUAUAGACCAAGAAGAAGACGUCUUCUACUUCAAUGAUAGCAGCGAUAAAUACCACUUCGAGUAAUUAAAAUUACACAUUCGUUAAUUUAAAUUCACGGUCUUAAUAUUUUUUAUCUGGUUGGUAACAUUAGCAAAACGUGGAAAUGCCAAUAAAAAUAAAAUGAAUAAUAAAUAAACUAUAGAAUAGAUUAACAGAAUGUGACAUAGCUAAUAUAUCUAAAAUAUGAUCGUAUUUUUUUUUUGAUCAAACAAACAUAUAUACAUGUAACCAACUUGUGUAUGUGUUAUGUUUGUUUUGUUGGACAGGCAAGUGUUCUACGUGUAUAUGUCAGGGGAGAAGACAGGAAGAGUAAUUAAAUACGAUAUGAAGAAGAAAGAGGCCACAGUUAUAAUGGACAAACUUCAUUUACCUAAUGGUUUAGCUCUAAGCAAGGACGGAUCCUUUGUACUCACCUGCGAAAGUGGUACAAAUACAAUCCACAGAAUAUGGGUCAAAGGUCCCAAAGCCGGGACCAAUGAGGUUUUCGCAAAGAUCCCGGGUCCUAUGGACAAUAUCCGACGCACGCCUACGGGGCAUUUUUGGGUCGCACUGCAUUCCAAAGACAGUUUGUUUACUCGUGUGUUUCUUAGUCACUCUUUUGUUGGAAAGUUUUUCAUCAAAACGCUGAAGGUGGAGACUGCGAUUCAUCUCGUUAAUGGAGGGAAACCUCAUGGAAUUGUUGUGAAACUCUCUGGAGAGACAGGAGAGAUUCUGGAGAUACUUGAGGACAGUGAAGGGAAGACGAUGAAGUAUGUUAGUGAAGCAUAUGAGAGAGAAGAUGGCAAGUUAUGGAUUGGGUCUGUGUAUUGGCCGGCCGUUUGGGUUCUUGAUAAAUCUGUUUACGGUCUCAAAUGAGCUAGUAAUUUGGUGGUAUGAUCUUCUUUUUAACUUGUUAGAAGACAAGCAUCUUCUUUUGUAUUUUCUUGUUGUUGUGCGAGUGGACUUUGAUUCUGAAGUUUUGAGUUGAGUUGUUUAAUGGAGUUUUGUGGGAUUUUAUAAAUUUUGUCAGGUGGUUAAAAAGAAAAUUUUGUGGGAUUUUAUAAAUUUUGUCAGGUGAUAAACCAUCUACAAAUAUAUAUAUAUAUUUUUAAAAUAGUUUCUCAUAAUUUGGUAACAUUUAAAAAUUAGCACCAAAGAUAUACACGAAAUCAAAAUAUACCCAAAAAUCCGUGAUAAACUAUAAAUAUCAAACAUCACAAAAUAUAUCCAAAAACCAAAACUAGAUCGAAUACAUACAUAAUUUAAUUUAUUACUUAUUUUUGGUGUCACAAUAUAUUUUAAAAUCUCAUUUUUUUUUUUUUUUGUUUUCUUGGAAUUUCUCUUAUAUUUUAGGUUUUGAGUAUAUUUUAUGUAUUUAAUAUAUUUAAAUAUUCUCGUUAUUUGAAUAUAUUUUGAUAAUUUUUUAUUGUUUAUAUAAUCAUAUAUUUAAUUUAACCAUGGUCCAAGCGGCGAUGCGAAAGGCGAUCUAGUGUUCUAGGGUUUCGAUGAUUCAAAGGUAUUGGGAUCCUGGGAUUAGAGAGGAGGAGAGGUUAACGGGUCGAUUUGAAUCGGAGAUUCGAUUUGGAGAUGGGAUUCUCCAAGGUCGGAAGGCUGAAGAUGGAAACUCGAGAUUUUCUUUUGAUUUUGGAUGGGUUGGUUUGAUCGAGGUUACGAUGAAGAUGGAGAUUUGGAUUUGGCGAAAACUAAGGAUUACGAGGAUCGGGAUUUUGAUUUUAAUUUCGAUCAUCAUCAAGACGAAAUUGAAUCAAGAAGAAAACGUAUCUUUUCUCUUUCCUUUAGUUUGAUCAAUCAGAGAUGUGGAGAUACGAAGAUAUCCCGAAAAGUGUUUCAGAAGGAAAGUUAUAAUGUCCUGGUACGAGAAAUGUGGGAUUGUAGAAUGAGUUUGUGGUUAAUGGGAUUAUUACGGGAGAUUGAUUCUGUUAUCAUGAAUCAAAGAGAAAUUAAGGAAAAUUGUGGGAGCCCUAGGAUGAGGAUUUGGGAUCAGUAUAAAAGGAAGAAGGGGUUCUAUACUUGGAUCAUAUACCUUGUAACUUUCUCUCUUGCUAUUGACAAAGAUCAAAGCUUUAUUCUUUUUCUUUUGGCUAUGACACAGAGUCAACUUUUGAGCAAUGUGGGGGAGGUGAAGAACGGAGAAGGAACUCGCAGAAGAUUUCAGUGCCCCAUUUCGAUAAUUCAGCUCUCAUCAAGACUUUUUCCAAAACUCUUAUUGGAAGAUGUAUGAAUCCGGAGGAGCAGGAGAUGAAGGCUCUGAUCUCGAAUCUCCCGAAGAUAUGGAAAUUUGAGGAGAGGGUUGUUGGCUCGGAUUUGGGUUUUGAGAAGUUCCAGUUUGACUUCGAAAAGGAGGAGGACAUGGAGGGGGUUCUUAAGCUUCAACCUAUUCAUUUUGAUUACUGGAUGUUGUCCUUGGCGCGGUGGCAACCUAACAAGUCCUUGCUCUACCCGUCGGAGAUAACAUUUUGGGUUAGAGUCAUAGGAGUCCCGUGGGAGUUCAAAACGGAACCCACUUUUGAGAGCAUUGGUGACGCCAUAGGAAGGACAGUGGCUGUAGAUUUGGAUCACUCUCGCGUGCAAGUGGUGGUUGAUGCUUUUAAUGAGCUGUGUUUUGAAACCACGGUAGACUUCACUGGUGGGGAGUUUUAUGAUGGAGAGGAAGCUCCGGUAUCGCUGCUGUAUGAGAAGCUGUUUGGAUAUUGUCAAGUGUGUGGUAGUCUGUGCCAUAAAGAUGAAGUCUGUCCCUUAGAUGUGAAGAACAUCAAGAAGAGCCCAGAAAAGAAACGAGAAGGAAGAGAAGGUAAUGGUGCUUGGUACGAUGGAGGGAAGUAUGAUGAUCGCGCAAGGAGUUAUAAAGGUGUAGUCAUUAAUGGAAACGCGAAUCAACAGAAUAAAGAAAGAGAAGGCCGGGAGUAUUAUGGCAAAAGUAAGGGCAAGAUGGGGGAGGAAACAUAUUCUAAAUGGAUGAAGGUGUCAGAGAGAGGAAGUAAGAGAGCCUACACUAACCGUGGAACUUAUAGAGGAGAUGGGGAAGCUUCUCGGCACAGACCUGCGAGGAGAGAGGACUCAAGGCCUGGCGCUAAGAGUGGACAAAUUCGACCCUCUUCAGGACAGACUAGGGAGCAACAGCCUCAACAAGAUGCUCGUGAGGAAGUUCGAGAGGAGGUUGAGAUCAGGUCCGCUGAGGAGUCUCGCGCAAUGCCACCUUCUCAAGCGUUUCAAGUGGAACUGGCCAAAUCUCAGGCUGAGGGAACGACAGUCAUCUCGGAUCCUAUUGAUGUGGACCAAGGGUUGGCAGCGGUACAUGGUAUGCAGGAGGAUCAUGUGGACUUAGAAGAUGAGGAUGUAAUGGACAUGGAUGAGAUUAAGGCUCAUCUACUUGAGAAUGAUAUAGAUAUGGAUGCAAAGGAUUUUUUAGAGAAGCUAGAAGAGGAGGAAACUAAGGAAGUGGGCAAGAAACAGAAAGAGGAGAACAAUGCUCAAGAGACAGACGAGGUGGUGUUUGUGGAAGAAGAGCAAGGCACGCUUGGUGGAGAUGCGGUGAAGAAACCAGGAUUACGUAAGAGUCUAUUCAAGCCGUCGACCGGUACUGCGGGAAGUACUAAAAUGAGAGCGUUCAAUGCGCUUGCGUCACCACGUAAGCGAGCUGCAGAGAGGCCAGGAACACGACACGGAGAUACCACCAAUCAAGCAGAGAGUAAGGGUGCUUCAAACCCGAAACUUGGAAAUCAGAGGAUCUGAUUUAUGGUUAGAGUCUUUUCUCAAGGUUUUUCAAGCAGGCAGGGCCUGUCUUAUGAUUUAGGUUGUUUUCUGGUUUUAAUAAGCUCUAUGAGCACUUGCAUUUUUUCUGUUUCUAAGAGUUGUAAGCGUCUGGUCUUACUGCGGUUUUAUGGUGGCUGUUAAGGGAUUUCUUUGAGGAAAAGCAAUGGAAUAAUAAAACAGUCUUGUGUUAUUGGUUUUGUCGUCUAACUAUGGUAAUGAAUUCUUGUAAUCGUUUUGGUUAUAUAGAUGGAUAUAGGAUUAGAAUGUGGGAUGAUGGUCUCGUUGGUUUGGAAAGGAAUCAGAGACAUAAUAGUCUUGUGGCGGGAAGGCGUCUGGUGAGUUUGUCAGAUUGUAGGAGGCGUCUGGUGAGUUUGUUAGGUUUCCAGUGGUGGCACAUGAAGUUAGGAGUUUUGGGUUUUAUCAUUUUUGCAUUGGGGACCACAGACUGUUUUAUAGUUUUGGUAUGUUACUUAUUUGGCAGAGUGAGAUCUCUUUUGUUAAUAGAUGUUCAAUGUUUGGAGAGGUUCUGGUUUAUUGGAUAUGGUGUUGCAGGUUUCUCUUUUAAGAAUAGCUUGAGGGGUUUGGAUUAUCUUAUUGUCUCUGAUACGGUGCGCGAACGUGUUGUGUCCUUGGUAUCAUCAAACCAGGAUCAGUUACUGAUUGGAUGGAGGGGAUUAUAUUAUGAUGCAUAUGCAAUGCGAGCUGAGGUUUUUUUCUCAAACCAAGAAGACAGUGGGUGUUGGUUUUUUAGUGAAACAAACUGGUUUCAAGUGGGAGUGGGUGGUUUUGCGUAUAAAAUGUGUGGCUUUGGUGGGUUACAAGACUGUAGUUUUUUUCUCGUUUAUGGAAUCGAUUUUGUAUUAUUAUGGAGGCUAAGUGAUAGAAAUUGGACAGUAUUAGUGGUAUCAUUUUCGAUUAUUAUGGGAUGGUUCAGAUCACAAAGAAAGGAAAAUAGUUGGAUUGUGGAAAUAGGGUAUCAUUACACCCAUAGACACUCGGCUCUCAGAGCAAAUAAAGAAUAAAUUUUUUAAAUGCGGGUUUUGAGUUGGAAUUGCCGAGGGAUGUGAAGUAAGUGAACUCUAAGCUAUUUGAGCGAGAUAAGGUAUAAACAUAAACCGGAUUUAUUGUUUUUAUCAGAGACAAAACAAGAUUCAGAGUUUGUCCAAAAAUGGCAAGCUCACUUUGGAUUCGAUAACCUAGUCACUAUAGACCCAGUGGGGAGAAGUGGCGGAUUAGCGCUUUUCUAUAAUAAUAAGUAUCAGGUAAAGGUAUUAUAUUCUAGUAACCGAAUGAUUGAUGUGGAAGCGGAAGUCCUGGGCAAAACGGUCUAUCUUACAUUUGUAUAUGGGGACCCAGUUCAAAAAAUGCGGGAACAAGUAUGGGAACAGUUAACUUGAUAUGGACUGGCGAGAUCCGACCCCUGGUUUAUUAUUAGGGAUCUCAACGAGAUUACUGGAAAUCAUGAAAAAGAUGGUGGGGCUAUAAGGAGUGCAGAUUCUUUUAUUCCUUUCAAUAAUAUGAUAAGAAAUAGUGGUCUGGUAGAAUUUCCGGCUAGGAGAAAUAAAAUGUCAUGGCAAAGGAGAAGAGGAAAAGGGAAAGGGGCAGUGAUGGUUCGAUGCCGUUUGGACCGUGCGCUAACAAAUGAAGAAUGACAUACCCUAUUUACAUGUUCCUUUACAGAGUAUUUUGGGAUGGUGGCUUCUGAUCAUCGUCCAGUGGUAGCUUAUAUGGAAGAAAAAGGUCCCAGACGGAAAUGACAAUUUCGGUUUGAUAAGAGGUGGAUUGGGCUAGAGGGUCUCCUAGAAUCAAUUACAAUGGGUUUGAUAGAUUCUAAUGAAGAAAUAGUAGGGGGGGGGGGGGGGGGCAGAGAGCAUAGUGGCAAAAAUUAGUAACUGUCGUCAUGAAAUUGCAAAAUGGCGGAAAAAUAAUUCACCUUAUGGAAAAAAAAAAUAAAUGAGUUACAACAAGCACUUGAAGAGGUGCAAACAAAUAAUACUAGGUCUCAAGAGGAUAUUCUGGAGGUGUCUAGGAAAUUACAAGACGCAUAUAAGGAUGAAGAAGAUUACUGGCAUCAAAAAAGUAGGAACAUGUGGUAUUCAUCUGGGGAUCUGAAUACAAAAUUUUAUCAUGCUUUAACUAAGCAACGGAGAGUUCGCAAUAGAAUUGUUGGAUUACAUGAUGCUAAUGGGAAUUGGAUUACAGAGGAUAAUGGUGUGGAAAAGGUGACAGUGGACUAUUUCGAAGAUUUAUUUACUACCACCUCCCCAUCGGAAUUUGAUAGUUUCCUGAUAGAGAUUACACCGGGCAUCACUCCUCAGAUGAAUCAACGCUUGUUGAAGCUAGCGACGGAGGAGGAGGUUAAAGAGGCUUUGUUUAUGAUGCACCCAGAAAAGGCGAUUAACAAUAUUUAUAUGAUACUAAAAACGGAGAGACCUACAAGGAUGACGGAACUGAGGCCAAUCAGUCUCUGUAAUGUAGGAUAUAAAAUCAUUUCUAAGGUCUUGUAUCAGCGUUUGAAAAUAUGUCUUCCCUUACUCAUUUCCGAGACUCAAUCUGCAUUUAUGGCAGGAAUAUUGAUUUCUGAUAAUAUUCUUAUCGCCCAGGAAAUGUUUCGCGGAUUGCGGAUAUCGGGUUCUUAUAAAUGGUCAACCACGUGGCCUCAUUGUACCACAUAGGGGUUUACGUCAAGGAGAUCAUUUAUCGCCUUAUUUAUUUAUUCUCUGCACUGAGACUUUAAUUGCAAAUAUAAAAAAGACAGAGAGAGGACAACAAAUUAUGAUUCUUUUAUUCCUUUCAAUAAUAUGAUAAGAAAUAGUGGUCUGGUAGAAUUUCCGGCUAGGAGAAAUAAAAUGUCAUGGCAAAGGAGAAGAGGAAAAGGGAAAGGGGCAGUGAUGGUUCGAUGCCGUUUGGACCGUGCGCUAACAAAUGAAGAAUGACAUACCCUAUUUACAUGUUCCUUUACAGAGUAUUUUGGGAUGGUGGCUUCUGAUCAUCGUCCAGUGGUAGCUUAUAUGGAAGAAAAAGGUCCCAGACGGAAAUGACAAUUUCGGUUUGAUAAGAGGUGGAUUGGGCUAGAGGGUCUCCUAGAAGCUCAAAAAGAAGAGUGUCAAACAAUCCUUAGGAUUUUAAAGGAAUAUGAGGCAAUUUCAGGGCAGCUAAUAAAUUUUGAUAAGUCUUUCAUUCAAUUUGGAUAUAAGAUUGAAGAAUCCGUCAGACAGGAUUUAAAGGAUAUUUUGGGUAUUCAGAAUCUUGGAGGAAUGGGAUCAUACUUUGGUCUACCAGAAAAUCUGGGGGGAUCAAAGAUCCAGGUUUUUAGCUUUGUACAAGAUCGUUUAAAUAAUAGAGUCAAUGGGUGGACUUUCAAGUUUUUAACAAAAGGGGGAAAGGAAGUGAUUAUUAAGUCAGUGGUUACGGCAUUACCAAAUCAUAUGAUGUCCUGUUAUCGCUUGCCUAAAGCAACGGUGAAAAAACUGACAAGUGCGGUAUCACAAUUUUGGUGGAGUCCAGGGGGAAGUACAAGAGGCAUGCACUGGAAAUCAUGGGAUAAGUUAUGUGUAGACAAGGAGUAAGGAGGUUUAGGGUUUAAAGAUAUCACUGAUUUCAACACAGCGAUGCUUGGUAAACAGUUAUGGCGUCUGAUAGAGAAGCCAAACACUUUAUUUUCUCGAGUUUUCAAAGGUCGGUAUUAUAGGAAUGCUUCACCCUUGGAACUGAUUCGUUCAUAUUCUCCGUCAUACGGCUGGCAGAGUAUUGUUUCUGUUAGAUCUCUGGUUAGCAAAGGACUAAUCAAAAGGGUGGGAUCAGGGUCUUCUAUAUCUGUAUGGAAUGACCUCUGGCUCCCAACCAAUCGCCCGAGACCAGCUAAUAAAAAUCAACACAAUUUAUACCUCAACCUUACAGUAGAGUCCCUCAUUGACUCUACCUCGCGAACUUGGAAUUCAGAGGUAAUUCGGACUUUGGUGGAUCCUCAGGAUGCGAAACUAAUAUAAAGUAUUCCACUAAGCGGGAUUCAUCAGGUGGAUAGAGAUGGAUGACAAUUUACGAAAAAUGGUAAAUAUACAGUCAAAUCAGGAUAUCAAGUAGAACGGAUUUAUCCAGAUAGAGAAAGACCACCACUACUGAUUGGGCCAACAGUUGAUGUCUUGAAGGCUUACUGCUGGAAAAUACGGUGCCCACCAACGCUAAAACAUUUCCUAUGGCAAUUAGUGACAUGGUGUAUAGCGGUACGGAAGAAUUUACAAGCAAGGGGGAUUCAAGGGAAUAUUUGUUGUGUAAGAUGUGGAGCUCCUGAGGAAUCAAUAAACCAUGUGUUUUUUGAAUGUCCUCCAGCUCUUCAGGUUUGAGCUCUUUCGAAGAUACCAUCAAAUCAAGCUAUUUUUCCAACGAGUUCCCUCUUCACAAACAUAGAUCAUCUUUUCUGGAGAGUUUUCCCGCAGAUGGAGGAUCACCAGUUUGCAUGGAUACUAUGGUACAUCUGGAAAGGUAGGAAUAAUAAAGUUUUUAGUAAUUUGGAUAUGGACCCUAUGGAUACGCUAAAAUUGGCUGAAACAGAAUCCACAUUGUGGGCUGAGGCACAAGUAGGGAAUUACCAGAGGACACCACCACCAAUAAUAGAUACGGUACUGUCGUCGAUCCCAAGAAGAUAGUGUUUCACAGAUGGCUCGUGGAAAGAGGGCGUUUAUUUUUCAGGACAAGGUUGGCUCAGUACUUUGGAAGGUAUUGAUGGAUUGUUGGGGGCGAAAAAUGUUAGGGCUAGUCUCUCGCCUCUUCAUGUAGAGAUGGAAGCGCUAUUAUGGGCAAUGGAAUGCAUGAAGAAUUUAUGUCAAUUUCAAGUUACGUUUGCAACGGAUUGUUCUCAAUUGGUGAAGAUGGUUUCAGAACCAGAGGAAUGACCAGCUUUUGCAAAUUAUUUGGAAGAUAUCAAGAUCCUGAAAGAGAGUUUCACCCGAUCAGAGAUUAUCUAUGUACCACGGACGCAUAAUUAAAAGACGGAUAGUCUAGCACGCAGUGGUAGAAAGCAAUCGUCUUUCAUCGUUCACAUAGAUGCAGAUCACGCAGUUUGGUUUACAGAAUCAGUAUGAAUCUAUAUUGUUGAUGACAAAAAAAAGAAUAUAUUUUGGUUUUAAUAAUUUAUAUAUUUCUCGGGGUUUUAAGUAUAUUUUUGAGGUUUUGGGUAUUUAAAGUUUUUCUUUUUCUUUUGGUUAUUAUUUUAGGUUUUUGGGUAUUUAUAUAUUUUUGGUUGUAUUUUGUUUCUUUUUUUUAUAUUUAUAGAUAUUUGACCGACAUCAUUUUGGUCAGGGUUGAUUUUUGUUUGAAUUUGAUAGUUCAUGUAGUUUAUUUGAAACAAAUAUUAACCUGGGAUGAAAUAAGCACGGUAACAAAAUUCAGGUAGAAAGUGGCGCGACGGAAAUUGUUGAGGUUAGAAUUGAUUCUUCUCCCCGUUUCCACCAGGCCCGAGUUGGUAUAUUUGAUUUGACUUUACUUGAUUUAAUUAAUAUAUUGGUUAAACAAAAUUCUAAUUAUUAAUCUGUUUAACGUUUUUUCAUAUAAUGAUUUACGAUGAUUUAUGAUGUACGUCUAGUUAGGGUUCUAGGUUAAUUUUUCCUUUUUGCUUGCAUCCUAUAAUUAAGCACUACACUACUUGAACUGGUUGCUGAUCUGAAGUUUAGUUUGAUUAACCUUCUAAAUGUGAGUUAGUACUAGAGUUUAAAAUUUAACUUAAGCUCCUGCCACUUUUUAAAUUUAGUGCACCACCAAAAGUUAGUAAAAAAAAAAGUUCUGCUAAAUGCUAAAGCCUAUCGCAUAUUAUUUUUUUCAAAAUAUAUAAUCAGUGAAAGAAAACAAUACAUUCAAAAGAAUUAGUUAUUAAUUUUAGUGCUUGGUGCUAGGCCUGAAACUUUUAUCCGAGAUCCGGAUUCGAUCCGAGGUCCGAUCUGAAUUCAAUCCGAAAAUCCGGAUAUCCGGAGGGGCCGAAUCCGGAUCCGGAUAGUAAAAUAUUGGAUCCAUCAAAGCCGGAUUCGGAUCCGGACAUCUUGAUUUUUAGUCUGGAUAUCUGUAUCUGGAUAUUACAAUUUUUAGAAGGAUAUCCGACGCCCGGAUAUCCGAAAACCUCGGAUCCGGAUAAGGAUAAUAAAAUUAUGGAACCGCCGGAUAAGGAUCCGUAUACCUUAAAAUUGUCAGGAUACCCGAUCCGUCACAGGCCUACUUGGUGCAACAUAAUCAGUGGUUGGUCUGAUGGUCGAACUAUCUCUGGUGAUUUUUUCGGCAACUUUUCCGUUGGUUUGUUGUGUCUCUAACUUUUUUUUAUGCAUGUGCAUACUUGAACUGAUUUUGUCUGUUUUCCUUAUGUGCUCUUCUGAUUACAUCUCAAAAGUGGUCGUAAAGAUCAAUGUUAAAGGGGUCAAUUAAAUGUUCAGCAUAUGAAUGGUGAUUGGUAUCUAGUGUUUGUAGGCUUCUUGUUUCCGCAUCCAACUACAUACCAAUUAUCCUUCUUCACAAGAAAAGUUAUACUUGUUGACUUGAUCCGAGGCCUAUAUUGCAUACCUAUUUCGAAGGAAUUGUUAAUCUUUUUAUUUAAAAUGUUGUUUUCAGUAUUUUCUCGGUAGGGAAGUCGUGAACACAAAAGCCAACAUUUGUGAUCUUUACUUCUUUGCUUAAAAUAUGCAUCGCCUGAAAAAAGGAAUACUGUUAGCUGAGAUAUCAUUUGCGAAAAGAUUAUGGUGGUGACUUGAAGUAAUUAUGCCCGUUAAACAUAUUUGUCUCCGGAUAAAAGAUGACGGUCAAAUCUUUGUAUAUUGAAAAAUAUUUUUAUUUUUGGACUGAUGUAGCUAUUAUCUUUUUCUAAAAGAUGUACGUUUAAUUGAUUUUAUAAAUACUAAAAAUAGAUUAAAUUUUAAUACUAAAUAUCUUAUUUUACGUAAUUAUUAUUUUUAACUAAUAGUGCUAAUAAGUAUAAUUAAUAUUUUUAAGUUUGUAACUUAUCAUAAUUAACUAAUAAAAAUAUAUAAAAGCAUAAAACAUAAUUUUAAAGAGCAAUUUAAAAAAAAUAUUUCUAGUACAGAGGGAUUAAUAUAUAUAUAUCAAAAACCAAACAAAUUGUAAUUAACAAUGAAAAUGGCCAUUCGUCUAGUUGUAAACCUGUAGUGAGUGGAGAAAGAUUUUUUUCUUACUUUAAUGUGAUUCGUGUCUGUAAAAGAUGUCCAAGGAUUCGGUGAUGUGAUCAUGUGGAACGAGGGGGCACCAGCCCUUUCCCAGCUUUAAUUAUUUUGCAUGAUUAGUUCUCAAAAUAAUAUAGUAGCUAUAAGAUUACAGUAGUCUGACUAAUCAUACGUGUAGGUUGUCAGAGAAAAAGAGUCUAAUCAUACGUGUAGGUUGUCAAAAAGAUAUUUUACGUUGUCUUCUCUUGGGUUUGCAUCAUUUUGCAUUUGAAAUUUUAUAUGAGAGAGGAUUUGUGUAAGCACAUUAUUAUUAUUUUGUCAGCAUAUUAUAUUAUAAGUAUUUUUUCUAUUUUGAAUAACUAUAUUCUAAAUUUUCCUUAAGUUUAUAUAAAGCUCGAUUGUCAAGUGUUGUAAAACUGUAUACAGAAUUUCUGUUUUUUUCUUUUUAUAAAAUGACAAAUCUAUUCUAUUAAAAAUGAGUCAUUAUAUAACCAUGUAAUUAGUUACUAAGAGACAAGAGAGGAUGGUGAUUAGCCAGAGAGUUUUGAAACAGGUUGCAGCAGUUCCGGUUGUCUUAUCCAUCAUUUGUUAUUUUUUCUGGCCAUCAAUCAUUGUGUUGGACCACCUAAAGGGCACGAAAGACGUUCUCCAAGUGACUAAGACAAUUCCUCUCCGUGGCGGUGGACCAGAGAGUUUAGAGUUUAGUUAUAGUUUGAUUUACAAGGUGAAUUGAAGACCCUUAUCUAGGAGUCACAGACGGUCACAUCCUUAAAUGGCGAGGCGAAGAGCUAGGCUGGGUUGAGUUCGCGUACACUUCUCCUCACAUGUUCAAUCCUAACAAAAAAAAAGUGCCAACCUUCCUAUGUUAUCAUUAUUCCAUGUUUACUGGUCCAAUGAUUUUUUCAUUAAUGUUCAACAAAUCACUAUGUGUUAAUUAAGCGUUUAUAGUGGAUUAAUGUCUAAAUAAACACCUAAACCUUAUCUAAACCGAUUUUAAAAAAUCGUUUAAGAAUCAUUUUGUUUAUGAACGAUCUUUUUAAAAUUGAUUUAUUAGAACAUUGAUUUUCAUUAACCUUCCUACUGAAUCUGACCCAUUUUCUUUUUGGUCAGUAAAUAGAUAAUUGUUCUAGGCAUAAAGUAGUUCCAAGUUGGGGGAGACCAUUGGGACUUAGCUUCCAUAAGAAAACCUGAGAUUUCUACUUUUGUGAUGGUUACUUUUGUAAGUAAAAAAAACACGUUUUACGUGUUGGUCAGCAUGGACGGUGACGGCAUGGACGGUGAGCUGAAAUUGUUGACGUUGGUUUUGUCAAAGAUUGUGAGCUCACCAAACACCUUCUUCAUGUUUAUAAAAGGAGAGCUAAGGAGAAGAAGAAAUGUAUCCCAAAAACAAGAAAACAGAGAGAGAACGAGAGAAGAGACGAGAAGAGAAGAAGAAAAAAAAAAGUUUUUUUUCUCACAAAAAAAUCUUCUUUAAGAAAUUACGAGUAAUUUCUGAGUGUAUUUGGGAUCGGGGUGUGAGUUGUGAGCUUGUAAAAUUUCUCUGGUUGAUAAUAAAAGAUCUGUAGCAGGUCCGGAGACGUAGGCAACAUUGGCCGAACUCCGUUAACAAUUUUGUGUGUGUGCUUCUUUCCCGCUCCUAUAAAUUCUGGUUUACCGCAAAAUUUGACCGCAUAUUUCCUAACAACUGGUAUCAGAGCUUGAGUUACGGUGAUCGGUCAAAUUUUUUGCGGAGUUACUAUUCACGGUAACAUCGGUUUGUCGACGAAGGUGUUCUAAUACACGGUGGUUCCAGAAACGAUGGGAGGCGAAGACGGUUUGGCGCACAGUAUCGGGAAAUUUGACGGUACAGAUUAUGCAUUUUGGAGAAUGCAAAUUGAAGAUUAUCUGUACGGAAAGAAGCUUCAUCAACCGCUGAGCAAGAAGCCUGAGAAGAUGGAUCAGGAUGAGUGGGAGCUCCUUGACAGACAAGUUCUGGGUGUUAUAAGGUUAACACUGUCGAAAAACGUUGCUCACAACGUUGCGAAGGAGAAGACCACGGAAGGGCUCAUGAAAGUUCUCUCUGAUAUGUAUGAGAAACCUUCGGCAAACAAUAAGGUAUUUCUCAUGAAGAAACUCUUUCAUUUGAAGAUGGAAGAAGGUGGCCUGGUUGCCGCACAUGUGAACGAGUUCAACACGAUUGUCAACCAACUGUCAUCGGUUGAAAUCGAGUUUGAAGAUGAAGUGCGAGCACUGAUUUUGUUGGCAUCUCUGCCAAAUAGUUGGGAGCCAAUGAGGGCAGCGGUUAGUAAUUCUGUGGGUACUCAAAAGCUCAAAUUCAAUGAUGUUAGAGAUCGUAUCCUUGGUGAGGAAGUUCGAAGGAUAGACUCUGGGGAGGCAUCAACGAGCUCUGCUUUCAACGUGGAAAACAGAGGGAGAAACCCAGAUAGAAAUAACCGGAGUAAUGGCAGAUCGAAGUCAAGGAAUGGACGGGGUCAGUCCAAAUUCAGACAGCCUGCAGAGUGCUGGAAUUGUGGAAAGACAGGUCACAUUAAGAAGAAUUGCCGAGCACCACCGAAGAAGGAAGACAACACUAGAGGCGGAGCCAAUGUAGUGACACGUGAAAUCGCUGAUGCAUUGGUAGUGUCUGUUGAUUCCCCGAGGAAAAUUGAAGCUCGUGAUGCAACUGCAAAUACCACCAAAGCGUCAAUCUCCUAUGUCGAUAGCCCAGUUGAUUCAUGGGUGCUUGACUCAGGAGCGUCGUUCCACACCACACCGCACCAUAACAUCAUGGAAAAUUAUGUUGCGGGAAAUUACGGAAAGGUAUAUCUUGCUGAUGGAUUACCUUUGGACAUAGUUGGUAUUGGAGAUAUCAACCUGAAAAUGUCAGACGGACGUGUGUGGAAGAUUACCAAGGUCAGACAUGUGCCAAAGUUGAUGCGAAAUCUGAUUUCAGUAGGUCAACUUGAUGAUAUGGGGCACGAUGUUAAUUUUGGUGGUGGAGCCUGGAGAGUCAAGAAAGGUUCCAUGGUGGUGGCUAGAGGUCAUAAAAGAGGCACUCUUUAUAUGACGACGAGUUAUCAAGACACUGUUGCUGUUGUCGAGAAUGCCAAACAUACCAAGUUGUGGCAUUGUAGGUUGGGGCACAUGAGUGAGAAAGGGAUGAAACUCAUGGUGGAAAAUGGUGCUCUUCCGGAUCUGAAGACGGUGGAUCAUCAGAUGUGUGAAAGUUGCAUCCUUGGGAAACAGAAACGAGUUAGUUUCUCUAAAGGAGGAAGAGAGCCAAAAUCUGAGAAGUUAGAGCUGGUGCACACUGACGUGUGGGGACCCGCUCCUGUUGCAUCGCUGGGAGGUUCGUACUACUAUGUGACCUUUAUUGAUGACUCCACAAGAAAAGUGUGGGUUUACUUCAUGAAGAACAAGCAUGAAGUGUUUUCGGUUUUCAAAAUAUGGAAAGCCAUGGUUGAGAUUGAGACGAAUCUCAAGUUGAAGUGUUUAAGGUCUGAUAAUGGUGGAGAGUACAUCAGCGGCGAGUUCAAGAGAUAUUGCGCUGAUAAUGGGAUCAAGAUGGAAAAGACUAUUCCUGGAACGCCUCAACAGAAUGGAAUAGCGGAAAGGAUGAACCGAACCUUGAAUGAGCGUGCAAGGAGCAUGAGAUUGCACUGUGGAUUGCCAAAGACGUUUUGGGCAGAUGCAAUCAAUACCGCAGCCUUCUUAAUAAACAGAGGACCGUCUGUACCGUUGGGAUUUAAGAUCCCUGAAGAAGUUUGGAGCGGAAAGAAAGUAAAUCUUUCUUAUCUAAAGGUGUUCGGAUGCUUAGCUUAUGUUCAUAUUGAUGAUGCUGCAAGAAGUAAACUUGACUCGAAGUCUAAGAAGUGUUACUUCAUCGGUUAUGGUAACGCGGAGUUUGGUUACCGGUUUUGGGAUGAUGAAAAUCGGAAGAUCAUCCGCAGCAAGAAUGUUGUGUUCAACGAAGAAGCGUUGUACAAGGAUAAGCUAAGAGAAGGCUCGGAGAAGAAAGAGCCUGGAGCUGUUGACUUAGAAGAUAUCCUGACACCGGAGUUGCCACAGGAUACCGCAACAGCAGAAGAAGAAAUCUCUCAAGACGAGAGUGGUGAGGCUGAAGAAAGUGAUGAUUCUGAAGUGGUCCCAUAUACACCAGUCACGGAGUUACGACGGUCAAGCAGAAUCAUCAGAAAGCCAGUAAGAUUCUCUCCAUCGCUCAACUACAUUCUGCUCACAGACAGAGGCGAGCCUGAAUGUUAUGAGGAAGCUAUGCAAGUUGAUGAGUCGAUCAAGUGGGAGCUUGCAAUGAACGACGAGAUGGACUCGUUGUUAUCCAAUCACACGUGGGAGUUAGCAGAUUUGCCUAAGGAGAAAAAGGCAUUGCAUAACAAGUGGGUCUACCGAAUAAAAGAAGAACCUGAUGGGAGUAAGCGCUAUAAAGCGAGGCUUGUUGUGAAGGGAUUCCAACAAAAAGAAGGCGUUGACUACACUGAAAUCUUCUCUCCUGUAGUCAAGAUGGUGACCAUCAGAACGGUUCUUGGGCUGGUAGCACAAGAAGAUCUGCAUCUUCAACAGAUGGAUGUGAAGACGGCAUUUCUUCACGGUGAUUUGGAUGAGGAAAUUUAUAUGAAGCAACCCGAAGGCUUUGAGAUCAAAGGGAAGGAAAGCCUUGUUUGCAAGCUGAAAAGGAGUUUGUACGGCUUAAAACAAGCUCCAAGACAGUGGUAUAAACGGUUCGACAACUUUAUUAAAGGCGUUGGUUUCUUGAGGUGUGAAGCUGACCACUGUUGUUACUUCAAGACGCUUGAAGAGUCCUACUUGAUAUUGCUCCUAUAUGUCGAUGACAUGCUGAUAGUAGGAGCAGACUUGCACGAGAUCAAUAGCUUGAAGACGAAACUCUCAGAAGAGUUUGCGAUGAAAGACCUUGGAGAAGCAAGACAGAUUCUAGGGAUGAGAAUCAGUAGGAGCAAGGAAGGUCUUAAGCUAUCACAAGAGGAGUAUGUGAAGAAAGUCCUCAAGAGGUUUAACAUGGAUGACGCGAAGCCAGUUAGUACUCCCCUGGCAAGUCACUUUCGGUUAUCCAGAGAACAGUCUCCAAAGACGGAAGACGAGAUGGCAUGUAUGGAUAAAGUUCCAUAUGCUUCUGCUAUAGGAAGCCUGAUGUACGCGAUGAUAUGUACAAGGCCAGACAUUGCACAUGCAGUGGGAGUCGUUAGCAGAUUUAUGAGCAAUCCAGGGAAGGAACAUUGGGAAGCCGUUAAGUGGAUUUUCAGAUAUCUAAAAGGAAAUCCAAGUUUAUCGCUAUGUUUCACGAAGUCUAAGACGGGAUUGCAGGGAUAUGUUGAUGCUGACAAUGGAGGUGACAUUGACAGCACGAAGAGCACAACCGGGUAUGUCUACACCUUUGGCGGUACUGCAAUUUGUUGGGUUUCAAAGUUGCAGAAAAUUGUAUCUCUAUCAAGCUGUGAAGCUGAGUAUGUUGCUGUAACGGAGGCAACAAAAGAGAUGAUAUGGCUACAGUCUUUUCUAGAAGAGCUAGGCCAUGACCAAGGGAAAGGUGUGUUGUACUGUGACAGUAAAAGUGCCAUCGAUUUGGCAAAGAAUCCGGUUUACCAUGCUCGGACGAAGCACAUACAUCGUCGGUAUCAUUUCAUCAGAUCAGCGUUGGAAGAUGAAAUGUUGGUGCUUGAGAAGAUCCCAGGAAGCAAGAAUCCGGCAGACAUGUUGACGAAGGUCGUGCCGUAUGAUAAGCUGAGGUUGUGUGCAACCUCAGUUGGCUUGUUGGAGUAACAAGCUGGGGAGACCUGCUACAUCGAUCAAUGUGUGAAGACAGAUUGAAAUCAGUCUUCAAGUGGGAGAUUGUAAGAAAAAAAAACACGUUUUACGUGUUGGUCGGCAUGGACGGUGACGGCAUGGACGGUGAGCUGAAAUUGUUGACGUUGGUCUUGUCAAAGAUUGUGAGCUCACCAAACACCUUCUUCAUGCUUAUAAAAGGAGAGCUAAGGAGAAGAAGAAAUGUAUCCCAAAAACAAGAAAACAGAGAGAGAACGAGAGAAGAGAAGAGAAGAGAAGAAGAAAAAAAAAAGUUUUUUUUUCUCACAAAAAAAUAUUCUUUAAGAAAUUACGAGUAAUUUCUGAGUGUAUUUGGGAUCGGGGUGUGAGUUGUGAGCCUGUAAAAUUUCCCUGGUUGAUAAUAAAAGAUCUGUAGCAGGUCCGGAGACGUAGGCAAUAUUGGCCGAACUCCGUUAACAAUUUUGUUUGUGUGCUUCUUUCCCGCUCCCAUAAAUUCUGGUUUACCGCAAAAUUUGACAGCAUAUUUCCUAACAACUUUGGGGUCAUGACUCAUGAAGGUUGGACCAGUAGGAGGCUUGGCCGAGUUAGUUGUUGAUGAAGCCGAUGGUCCCAAGGUCAUGUUUGCGUACCAAAUGGAUAUAGAUCAAGAAGACGUCUUCUAUUUUAGUGAUAGCAGCGAUAAAAAUCACUUCGAGUAAUUAAAACUACACCUUCGUUUAUUUACAUUUACAGUCCUAGUAUUUUCUCUGGUUGGUAACAUUAGCAGAACGUGAAAAACGGAUAAAUAAAUAAAAUCAAUAAUAAUAAUUUGUAAAAUAUAUUAGUAGCAUUGGGGAACCAUAAUGUGAUGUAGCUAAUAGAUCUAAACGUGAUUUUGAACAUAUAGACUUACUGGUUGAAUCCAGAAUAUUUAUUUACUGGGUGAAGUGUCGAUUAUAAAAUGGAAACAGUCGAAAGGUGCAUUCGAACUUGGGUUGUUAUGGUGCACUUGCACAAUACAACUUUUUCACCUGUUCUAACAGAAUUUAUUUGUUAUUUGACACGAAAAUUACAAUAUAAAUAAUUUGUUUUGGUGCACAUGCUCCAUUGAUCAUUUGUAAAACCUUUAAGUCAUUAUGUAACUAUCAUGUGUAUGUGUUUUUUAGUGCAAAUGUUAAGAAUGUUACGUUUGUUUUGUUGGACAGGCACGUAAUCUACGUUUACAUGUCCGGGGAGAAGACGGGAAGGGUGAUGAGAUAGUAAUCGCGUUAACGUUGGUCAACGAACCAGACCUGGUUUGCAGUGUUUCAUUGUUCUUUUAAUUAUUUAUUUUAAUGAGUAUAGUUGUUAAUAAUGGAAACUGAUUCUUCCUAAUGUUUAGGAACUUAAUCAUCCCACGUUUCCCAUUUCAUCGUUGUAUAGGGAUCAUGAUCCCACAAUUGCUUCUUGUAACUUUUAUCUAUUUAAAUCAAUGCAAACAACAAAAAGAGGUAGUCAUAACUACACAAAAGAAAAGCGUGUUCUAGUCUGUUCUUAAUUUGUUCUUGAACAAAUUCUCUUUGAUUUGAAGAGAGACCUUAAUUGGUAUCAAAUCACAUGUUUCUAGAUCAACAUUGAUAUCUCUUGGCAAGGGACCUAUCAGUGGUAUCAGAGCAUGUUUUGUUUUUGAUCCGGACCACUUUGUGGUAUCAAAAACUUUAUAUUUUUCAUCUUCCUUGUUAUCGGUAUUCUUCAUGAAUCAACGGUUAUCAAGAAUCCUCGACGAACGGCCAUUCUCAGAAUCAACGAUUAUCGAGAUCUAUCCAGCGAUUUUUUUCUUUUUACCAUUUUCUUCUUUUCGGGUUUGUUGAUCAAGUUCAACAUCCUUUCAUUUGUUAUGGAUUAAAAUCUGUAAUUCUUCCAUUGUUUUUCAGUUUUCAAAAAAAAAAAGAUUUCAUCUUUCUUGUCAUUUAAAAGAAAAAGAAAAAAAAACAGUUUUAUUCUAAUAAGGAAACAAGCUUGGUCUGGGUCUUUGAAGUUGUAAUGCGUUGAAAGACAUCUACUGGCAAGAAAAAUCAACAUGGAAGAAAGAGAAGCAACUCAAGUCAAGCUUUCCUCAGUUCAUCACAAACCUUGAGGACAAGGUUCUUUGACGGCCGGAGUAUUGAUGAGAUAGUAAUCGCGUUAACGUUGGUCAACGAACCGGACCUGGUUUUCAGUGUUUCAUUGUUCUUUUAAUUAUUUAUUUUAAUGAGUUUAGUUGUUAAUAAUGGAGACUGAUUCUUCCUCAUGUUUAGGAACUUAAUCAUCCCACGUUUCCUAUUUCAUCGUUUUAUAGGGAUCAUGAUCCCACAAUUGCUUCUUGUAACUUUUAUCUAUUUAAAUCAAUGCAAAUAACAAAAAGAGGUAGUCAUAACUACCCAAAAGAAAAGCGUGUUCUAGUGUGUUCUUAAUUUGUUCUUGAAUAAAUUCUCUUUGAUUUGAAAAGAGACCUUAAUUGGUAUCAAAUCACAUGUUUCUAGAUCAGCAAUAGAUUAUCCUAUAACUGGGACCUAUCAAAAGGUUAUUAGAUACGAUAUGAAGAAGAAAGAGGCCACAGUUGUAAUGGACAAACUUUUUCUUUUUUUGGUGAUAGUAAUGGACAAACUUCAUUUACCCAAUGGUUUAGAUCGUUUGUACUCACAUGUGAAAGUGUUACAAAUACUAUCCAUAGAAUAUGGGUCAAGGAUCCAAUAGCCGGGCCAACGAGGUUUUCACAAAGAUCCCGGGUCCUAUGGACAAUAUCCGGCGCACGCCUAUGGGAGAUUUAAGGGUCGCAUUGCAUUCCAAAGACAGUUUGUUCACUCGUAGUUCGUAUUCUGAUUCCGGUUCGAACCGGGAAGCGGACGUCCGAUGAAGUUUCCGUGCAACGUAGCUCUCAGUGAGUCGGCCACUGAGUUAAAUGUAAAAACAAACCAAAUUGAUGAGAUAGUAAUCGCGUUAACGUUGGUCAACGAACCGGACCUGGUUUGCAGUGUUUCAUUGUUCUUUUAAUUAUUUAUUUUAAUGAGUUUAGUUGUUAAUAAUGGAGACUGAUUCUUCCUAAUGUUUAGGAACUUAAUCAUCCCACGUUUCCCAUUUCAUCGUUGUAUAGGGAUCAUGAUCCCACAAUUGCUUCUUGUAACUUUUAUCUAUUUAAAUCAAUGCAAACAACAAAAAGAGGUAGUCAUAACUACCCAAAAGAAAAGCGUGUUCUAGUGUGUUCUUAAUUUGUUCUUGAACAAAUUCUCUUUGAUUUGAAGAGAGACCUUAAUUGGUAUCAAAUCACAUGUUUCUAGAUCAACGUUGAUAUCUCUUGGCAAGGGACCUAUCAGUGGUAUCAGAGCAUGUUUUGUUUUUGAUCCGGACCACUUUGUGGUAUCAAAAACUUUAUAUUUUUCAUCUUCCUUGUUAUCGGUAUUCUUCAUGAAUCAACGGUUAUCAAGAAUCCUCGACGAACGAUCAUUCUCAGAAUCAACGAUCAUUGAGAUCUAUCCAGCGAUUUUUUCUUUUUACCAUUUUCUUCUUUUCGGGUUUGUUGAUCAAGUUCAACAUCCUUUCAUUUGUUAUGGAUUAAAAUCUGUAAUUCUUCCAUUGUUUUUCAGUUUUCAAAAAAAAAAAAUUUCAUCUUACUUGUCAUUUAAAAGAAAAGCAAAAAAAAACAGUUUUAUUCUAAUAAGGAAACAAGCUUGGUCUGGGUCUUUGAAGUUGUAAUGCGUUGAAAGACAUCUACUGGCAAGAAGAAUCAACAUGGAAGAAAGAGAAGCAACUCAAGUCAAGCUUUCCUCAGUUCAUCACGAACCUUGAGGACAAGGUUCUUUGACGUCCGGAGUAUUGAUGAGAUAGUAAUCGCGUUAACGUUGGUCAACGAACCGGACCUGGUUUGCAGUGUUUCAUUGUUCUUUUAAUUAUUUAUUUUAAUGAGUUUAGUUGUUAAUAAUGGAGACUGAUUCUUCCUAAUGUUUAGGAACUUAAUCAUCCCACGUUUCCCAUUUCAUCGUUGUAUAGGGAUCAUGAUCCCACAAUUGCUUCUUGUAACUUUUAUCUAUUUAAAUCAAUGCAAACAACAAAAAGAGGUAGUCAUAACUACACAAAAGAAAAGCGUGUUCUAGUCUGUUCUUAAUUUGUUCUUGAACAAAUUCUCUUUGAUUUGAAGAGAGACCUUAAUUGGUAUCAAAUCACAUGUUUCUUGAUCAGCAAUAGAUUAUCCUAUAACUGGGACCUAUCAAUUGGUAUCAAUUGGAAAAGAAAAAAAAACAGUUUUAUUCUAAUAAGGAAACAAGCUUGGUAUGGGUCUUUGAAGUUGUAAUGCGUUGAAAGACAUCUACUGGCAAGAAAAAUCAACAUGGAAGAAAGAGAAGCAACUCAAGUCAAGCUUUCCUCAGUUCAUCACAAACCUUGAGGACAAGGUUCUUUGACGGCCGGAGUAUUGAUGAGAUAGUAAUCGCGUUAACGUUGGUCAACGAACCGGACCUGGUUUGCAGUGUUUCAUUGUUCUUUUAAUUAUUUAUUUUAAUGAGUUUAGUUGUUAAUAAUGGAGACUGAUUCUUCCUAAUGUUUAGGAACUUAAUCAUCCCACGUUUCCUAUUUCAUCGUUGUAUAGGGAUCAUGAUCCCACAAUUGCUUCUUGUAACUUUUAUCUAUUUAAAUCAAUGCAAAUAACAAAAAGAGGUAGUCAUAACUACCCAAAAGAAAAGCGUGUUCUAGUGUGUUCUUAAUUUGUUCUUGAAUAAAUUCUCUUUGAUUUGAAAAGAGACCUUAAUUGGUAUCAAAUCACAUGUUUCUAGAUCAGCAAUAGAUUAUCCUAUAACUGGGACCUAUCAAAAGGUUAUUAGAUACGAUAUGAAGAAGAAAGAGGCCACAGUUGUAAUGGACAAACUUUUUCUUUUUUUGGUGAUAGUAAUGGACAAACUUCAUUUACCCAAUGGUUUAGAUCGUUUGUACUCACAUGUGAAAGUGUUACAAAUACUAUCCAUAGAAUAUGGGUCAAGGAUCCAAUAGCCGGGCCAACGAGGUUUCACAAAGAUCCCGGGUCCUAUGGACGGGAAGGGUUAUUAGAUACGAUAUGAAGAAGAAAGAGGCCACAGUUGUAAUGGACAAACUUUUUCUUUUUUUGGUAAUAGUAAUGGACAAACUUCACUUACCCAAUGGUUUAGAUCGUUUGUACUCACAUGUGAAAGUGUUACAAAUACUAUCCAUAGAAUAUGGGUCAAGGAUCCAAUAGCCGGGCCAACGAGGUUUUCACAAAGAUCCCGGGUCCUAUGGACAAUAUCCGGCGCACGCCUAUGGGAGAUUUAAGGGUCGCAUUGCAUUCCAAAGACAGUUUGUUCACUCGUUUGUUUCGGAGUCACUCUUUGGUCGAAAAGUUUUUCCAUCAAGACGUUGAAGGUGGAGAGUGCGAUUCAUCUCAUUAAUGGAGGGAAACCUCAUGGAAUUGUUGUCAAACUCUCUGGAGAGACAUGACUGCAAGGGCGGAUCUAGAACUAUUUUCUACCCAAGGCACAACAUCAUUUAUAACUGAACUCAUUUAUAAAAUAAAGUUUUUGAAAUAAAGAUAAAACAUCUUACAAAUUUGUCCUACGAGAUUCAAUAUUUUUGUAUUUUUUAUCACAACUUCAUUUGUUACUUUAUCAAAUAACUAUUUUCAACCAAACAAACAACACAAUCAUUUAAAAACAGAUUACUUAUCCAGUUCCACAAGCUAGUCUUCACUAUCUUCAUCGCAAAAGAACAUCUUUCAAUUGUAGUGGUGGCAACAAGUAAAGUCAAAGCUAGUUAAAAGACAAUAAACCAGAGGAUGUGAAAGAUGUUCUUUGUCUCUACCAUCAUAUACAUGCAAGAUCUCCAAGAUCCUUCAACUUAGAAAAUCUUUCAUCUUCACAGAUGUUAUCAAUAUAGAGACCAAGUUGAUGUUCAAGAGUCAUCCGCUCGAUAGAACUAAAAUCUUCAGGAUAAAAGUCAGACAAUCUCAUAACUUUCAAUUGAUCAAACUCACGAAAUGAAUCCAUGGGGAUCAUAGAAUCCAUGCAACCAAGUAAUUCAGUGUUUACCACAUCAAAACGUCAUUAAACUCCAAAACUUUCAUAUCAAACAUAGUGUAAAAGCAUUCCACUUUGUAAUGAUGCAAACUGGUUAUAUUGUUUUUUUCUUGGAUUAUAUGAAUCAAAUUCAGCAUCCAUAACCAGCAACUCAGUCUUGUAAUUAUCACAAAAGGAAAUUUUUUUUGUUGAUUAGAGAUACCCAUCCAUUUUCUCUGCGCUUAUACAAUUGCUAUUUGUAGAUUUCACAAGCGACAUAUCAUUCAGAAUAUCCUGAUCUUUCUUUUGAAGAGCCUUUGAUAAACUAUUUGUGAUUCUAAGAAUAAGCAACAUCAACCGUAACUUAGCACAAUUCUAUAUUUUAUGAAUUAUCACGAUUCUUGUUGUUUAGAUAAUAUAAAUAAAAAAUUUCAUUUAUUUUUACCUUUUAGGUCUUUUGUUGAACUCGUUAUACGCAACCUUUGUGUUUGCUUGGGCGAAUAUUUUUUGUAGUUAUGAGAGAAUUUAAUUCUAUACUAUAUAAAAGUUAAGACUAUAAGCCAUCGAAUGCGCCCACGUAGGAUUUUAAACAAUCAACUGUAUUACGACAAAUCACAUUUUUAAUUUGCUAUUUCUAAAAAUGUUAAUAUUACCAAAAAAAUGAUUUAUUUCAAAAUAAAAUUUAAAUCGAUAUCAAAGAAGAUAAAUUUACAAAAUAUAAACAUUUUAACUAAAUUAACUUAAUUAUAACAGUAUAAUUUUUGAAUUUUAAAAUCUAAUUAACUAAUGAAAGUAGUAACUAAUUCAAAAAUGCAAUUUUUUUUGAAUAAUUAUAAAAAUAAAGUUGAGGUCGUAAGCCAUUGAAGGCGUCCACGUAGGAUUUUAUACAAUCAACCAUAUUACGACAAAUCAUAUUUUUAAUUUUCUAUUUCUAAAAAUGUCAAUAUUACCAAAAAAUCAUUUAUUUCAAUAUAAAAUUUAAAUAGAUAUCAAAGAAGAUAAAUUUACAAAAUAUAAACAUUUUAACUAAAUUAACUUAAUUAUAACAGUAUAAUUUUUGAAUUUUAAAAUCUAAUUAACUAAUUUAAGUUGUAACUAAUUCAAAAAUGCAAUUUUUUUGAAUAAUUAUAAAAAUAAAGUUGAGGUCGUAAGCCAUUGAAGGCGUCCACAUAGGAUUUUAUACAAUCAACCAUAUUACGACAAAUCAUAUUUUUAAUUUUCUAUUUCUAAAAAUGUCAAUAUUACCAAAAAAUCAUUUAUUUCAAUAUAAAAUUUAAAUAGAUAUCAAAUAAGAUAAAUUUAAAAAAUAUAAACCUUAUAAAUAAAUUAACUUAAUUAUAACGGUAUAAUUUUCAAAAUUUAAAUCUAAUUAACUAAUGAAAGUAGUAACUAAUUCAAAAAUGCAAAAGAUUGAAUAAUUAUAAAAAUAUAAAUUUAACACAUGAUUCUCAAAAUUUAGGUUAUAUGUGUUAAUGAAAAUAUUCACAAAUAAUUUUUAUACUAUAUAAAAAUUGAAACUGUAAGCUAUUGAACUUGUUCACAUCAAAACAACCAAUGAUGUUAUGACAAAUCUUCAUUUUAAUUUAACAUUUUUAAAAAUAUAAAUAUUUCCAAAAAUUGCAUAUUUAAAAAUAAAAUAAAAUUAUAUAUCAAAUACGUCAAACUAAAAAAAUUAAAAACAAUAUAAAUAAAUUUAAAAUAAUAUGUAUAAUAUUUCGAAUUUUAACAUAAAAUAAUAUGUAUAAUAUUUCGAAUUUUAACAAAAAUUUCAAAGUGUAGGGUAUAUGCUUGAUAAUAUUAACUUAAGGUAAAUCAUAUUAAAUAUCUAUUAUAAAUUUUCUAACAUUAACUUAAGUAUAAACUCUAAUAUUAAACUUUGAAGAAUAUCACUACAGCCUGAAUGAUAAACCUGAUAUGGGCAAUAGAAAAUAUUCUUUUAUUAAGAUAAUAAUAUGUUAUCUAAAGUUGCUGAUAAAAAAAAACUAAAAACAAUAAAAUUUUCCAAAUUAUAACAGUUAAAAAUGUCAACGUUUUCUAUGAAAUCUGUUAAAUUUUUAUUGGAAGUAGAAACUAUUCCAAUGAUAGUUUUGAAAAGGUAUUACAAUGAUAAAUCAAACAAACAUUAUUUAGCUUAUCAUAAAUUUAUAUUUAAUUUUUAUAUCAAAUCUAUUUUAAAGAAUUAUAAGUAACAUAAGCCUUACUACUAUUAUAUACAGUUAUUAGAUCAUGUAGAAGUGAAAUCUAACACUAUAUUUUCUUUAUAUUAAUAUCUAACUAAAUAAAAUAUUAUUUAACAUUAGUUAAAAUGAAUUAUAUUUAUUUUUAUUAUAAAAUUAUUUAACAAAAGUUAUUUAAAAUUAGUUAAAGCUCAUAAAAUAGUAAUGAUGAUUAAAUUUUAAAUCUUAAUUUUCUACUAUUACAUAUUGUUUAGAAAUAAGAAAAACUGCAUGAAAUACAAACACCACUAUUCAAAAAUACUUUAACUUUGGGUUAUGGUUUAAUGAUUAUUUUUUGGUUUAGUAUAUAGGGGGUGGGGUUGAGUUUAUAAACUUCUAUAAUAAUUUUAAACAUUUAUAAAUGAUUUAUAAAGGUUAAUUUUCUCUUUUAACAAUAAACGUAAGUACGUAAGUUAUUUAUGAAACUAAUUAUUAUUUAAAGAUAAAUUUAGAAGUUGUAUCAAAUUUGAAGUAAAUUUAUUAAUCCCCUUGGAAUAAUUAAAGAAAUGUUUUUAAAGUUUCUAUUUAAACACAAUAUAUAUAACCCACACAUUCAUUGUACAAAAAAUUCAAAAAAACAAAAGAAAAUUAAAUAUUAUGCCGUAGAUAUUUCAUUUAUGUUUUUCAAAUAAAAAAUAGCAUUGUAUAUAAAUCGAGAAAUUUAUAUAAUAUUAAAAUUUUAAAUUUUUAGUUUUCUAUAAAAAUAUAAAUACGUUAAUAGUUGUAAUUUAUAUUCUUUUAAUACAAAUAAAUAAAUAUCUAAGUAAUAAUUUUUCUAAAUGUAUAAACAAAUAUAAAUAGGAAAAAAGUAAAAAAAAAUAUUUUCAUUAUAUUUAUAAAAAAAUAUGCAUAAAUGAAUUAUAUUUAUCUUUUAAAAGUAUUACAAAACUAAAUUAUUAAUAAAGCAAACUAAACUAAAUUAAUAAAAUCUAGUUUGUAGAAAAAGAAGACAAAAAUAAACGUGGGCUUAUAGCUAGGUCAAAAUUUUAACUUUCUUAAUUAAUUUUCAUUGUUUUCUGAAUGGGGUUUUCCCAAAGGAGUUUUCCGUAUUUCGACCCGAAAAUCUAAGAGAGGCAUUACUGUUGAGAUUCUGACCAAAAAAUUAGACAUUUCAUGCCCAAUUUGAUGGAAAUUCCGGGUCGAAGAAGAGACAGAUCAACAUACGGCACAGAAAAACUCAAAUCGAUAUAAAUGGAAAAUGUCUCUGAAACUAGUAUAUCGGUCAAUCGAUGGAAUCAUCUACGCCCCAAAAUAAAACUUACUUUUAUUUUUUAUUUUUGGCUAAGAAGAUAUGUGAUUGUAUAAAAUUGUGUUUAUAUUUUUAUGUUGACGGGAACACACUUUAUUAUUCUAUUUACACAAUUAUAUUUUAACUAGAUAUAUAUAUUGUUUUUAAGUAGGGCCACGUGCCCGUAGUUAACCUUGUACAUCCGCCCAUGCACGAUUAUAUUUAACUAGAUAAAUAAAUAAAUAAAUAAAUAAAAGUUUUUUUUUAUUAAUAAAAUUACUUUUUUAUACAUGGUUAAAUGUGAUUUCAGCUAUGUUACAUGGAAACGGAAGCUGGUACGUGGAAGCGGAAGCGUAAGGAAGCGUAGAAGCGAGAUUUUUUAAAAUAUUAGGAAGCGGGUACGUGUUGGAAGCGUAUAUCUAUAUCUAUAUAUAUAUAUAAUUUUUUAAAAAGGUAGUAUGGGGCACAUGCUCCCGUAGUCAAUCUUGUACAACCGCCUCUCUUCUUGAGAUAGUUGAGGACAGUGAAGGGAAGACGAUGAAGUAUGUUAGUGAAGCUUACGAAAGCGAAGAUGGCAAGUUAUGGAUUGGGUCUGUGUAUUGACCGGCCGUUUGGGUGAUUGAAAAUUUGUUUACGGUCUCAAAUGAGUUAGUAAACGCAAACAAAAAAUAAUAAUUUGGUGGUAUGAUAAUUUUUUUAUUCUUUUUUUUAUCGUUUCGUUCCGAAAGACCAGACUCAAAGCCAGGUGGCGGUACUCACAGCUGUGAACCAUUUACCACAAGAACCAGAGGCUCCGGUUAAUAAUUUGGUGGUAUGAUAUUUGUUUUCUUUUUUUCAAACUUGUUAGAAGACAUGCAUCUUUUUUUUUUUGAACAUAGAAGACAUGCAUCUUUUUUUUUAAAAAAAGAGAAGACAUGCAUCUUCUUUUGUAUCUUCUUGUUGUUGUGUGAGUGGACUUUGAUGCUGGAGAAAUUUGGUUCAGUUGAGUAGUUUAAUGUAGUUUUGUGGGAUUUUAUAAAUUUUGUCAAGUGAUUAAAACGAAAAUUGUGUUGUGUCCGACAUGAUGUCUUCGAGAAAUUUUGAUAAAAGUAUUAUAAACUCGACGACAAGGGGGAAGGUACCCAAGAAAUGCUCGUCUUGAUAACAAUGGCUAAGUUCUUUUUGACUGAACUUUUAAGUUCGUUAAACACUAUUCUAAUUAUUAAUUUAUUUUACCUUUCAUAUAACGAUGUACGAUCAUUUUCAUUCAAAAAGAUCAUUUAAUUAUGAUGUACAUCUAGUUAGGGUUCUAAUUUUUCCUUUUUGCUAGCAUCAUGUACGCACUGUUCUUGAACUGGUUUCUGAUCUGAAAUUGGUUUGAUUAACCUGCUAAAUGUGAAUUAGUACGAGAGUUUAAAAUGUAACUAAUUAAACUCUUGCAAUUUUUAAAUUUAAUGCAACCAAAGUUAGCAAAAAAAACACUGCUAAACUAAAGCCUUGGUAUUUUUUUAAAUUACAUAAUCAAUGACCGAAAACAACACAUUCAAAAGAAGUUGUUAUUACUUAUUAAUCCUUUUCAUACGAUGUGGACUGAUUGAGCUCUUUCUCCUCGCUUUAUAUACUACUCUAUCUAUUUCUAAAAAUGUAUGUUAAAUUGGUUUUACACAUAUUAAAUUUUAAUAGUAAACAUAUUAUUUUCUGUAAUUAUUAAUUUCAAAUAAUUUUAAAUAAUAGUAUUUUAAAAGUAUAAUUAAUAUUUUUGAAGUUCGUAAUUUAUCAUUUAUUAACUAAUUAAAAUAUCUAAAAUAUAAAAUAUAUUUUGAAACAACUUUCUUAUAAAACAUUUAUCUUUCUAAUACAGAUAGAUUAAUAUAUAUAAACAAACAAAUUGUAAUUAACAAUGAAAAUGGCCAUUCGUCUAGUUUAAACUUGUAGUGGAGAAAGAUUUUAUUCUUACUUUAAUGUGAUUCGUGUCGGUAAAAGAUGUCUAGUGUCCGGUGAUGUGAUCAUGUAGAACGAGAGGGAGCACCAGCCCUUUUCCCUUUCACAGCUUAGUUUAUCUUGCAUGAUUAGUUCUCAAAAUAUUAUAGUUUUUUUUAAACAGAUUUUUCAUAUUAGAAGGCUAGAAGCGGAAAGAAAUAAAAUGUCACGCCUUACGAGGCCUCAGUUUGUUUUUAGAGCCCAGUCCAGUUACAUAAUCUCAUAUCAAUAAUCAUAAGUUAACCAAUAAUAAACCCAAUAGAUUGGAAAGUUUGGAGCUUUGAUAAUACCGAACCGUCGGAAGAGUCGUGAUCGGCUUGAAGAGGAGUUGGUGGUGAACGGAGGAGUGGCGUAUACUAUCAACAAAAGGAGAGUGGGGAUCUUAACUCAGCCAUUGCUGCAUCAUAGUUGACAAUGCCGAAUGGUUUGUCUGUGAAGAUCCGAUCUCUUAUUUGUCUGUCAAAGAGGCGAGAAACCAAAUCAUAGUUGCCAUGAAAUUACAGUAUAUGUGUUUUUCUACAUCAUGCGCAGAAAUAAAAGUUUUAAAAUUUAAAUUAUAUUUACAACAAAAAUUAUUCGUUAAUUUUUAGAUUUUAUUAUUUGUUAAAAUAUUUAAUUUUAUAUUUUAAUUAAUUAUAUGUAAAAUUUAAGAUUAAAUUUUUUUUUUUUAAUUUAUAUUUAAUAAUAUAUGUGCAUAUUUAAAAUUAUAAUCUUGGAAAGAUUUUUUAUCUAUUUAUUUUGGUUGAAAUAUAUUAAAUCAAAUUCUAAAAAUUAAAAGAAAAUUUUGUCAGAUAUAAAAUUAUCAAAACGUAAAACUAAAUAAUAUUUAUAAAAAUUUAGAUAUUAAAAGAAACUAACGGUAUAAGGAUUAGAAAUUACAUUUUUUUAAAAAACUGCAUAAAGUUUCGAAAUUUUUUUUGUAAUUAAAAUUAUAUAAUUGUAAAAAUAAAAUAAAAAUAAUAUUUCAAAAAUUGUGAAAUAUUAUUAUAUUUCUAUUUAUACUAUUAUAGUAUGUAUUGUUAUAUUUAUUGAUGACGUAUGGGUUAUUAUCAUAUUUCAAAAUUUUAUCAAAAUUAUAAAUCAACAUUUAAUAUAAAUGUACCAUGUCAUCAUUGUUAAUAAACCAUGUCAUUAUUUUUCUUUCAAAAUUAAUGUGGUGAUGAUAAUGUCAAAUUACUUCAGAAAUAAUGUAUAAGAGAUAACUAAUCAUACGUGUAGGUUGUCAAAAAGAAACUAUUCAUACCUGUAGGCUGUCAAAAAUGAUAAUCGAAUUUAAAUAUAUGCAACACUGAGAAUAAUUAUUGAAUUUAAUUUUUGUAAUAAAAAUUAUUUCAAUUUGCAUGUAUGUAAAUUCGAUUUGUUCAUUCUAGAUAACAGAUAACCAGAUAAGAUCAAAACGCAUUUCUCUUGCCAUAGGAUAAGACUUGUGCCUGACGUUACAAGAGAAAUAUGCUUGGCUAUGUCAGAUUUGGACACUUUCCUUUUUUUAUACUCAGGUUUCAGAAACUACAACCUUCAAUAGUACAAAAAAGGGAACUUUUUUCUAUAAAUAAAAACGUUACAUUAGAUGAUUCCACAUGGAUUUCAUUCACUGUAUUCAUAUUUUACAGCUGAUACUUCGACAGAAAUGGCAAUACGUGUAUAUCGUUUCUGCAUCCACACAACAAAGAAAAAUCUACACUACUUUGUCCAUUUUCGUCUGAUUUAUAUAACUAUUGUCACGUUGAUCAUGUAAGCUAAUAACAGCUAGUGUUACACACGUCUCUUCAACCAUCAUAUUUGUCUGCGGCGAAGAAAAAAAAAUGCCGAUUAGUGAGAAACUUCCAACUUGGGCCGUUGUUCCGGCUGUUUUAGCCGUGUUUUCCGUAAUUUUCUAUCAGAUCUUAAUCGCGCCGGACAAUUUGAACGGCACCAAAAAUGUAUUGUCGAUGGCUAAGACCAUACCACUUCCUGUCGAUGGACCAGAGAGCAUUGAGUGGGAUCCGCAAGGAGGAGGUCCUUAUGCUGCUCUUGUGGACGGCCGUAUUCUCAAGUGGCGUGGAGAUGGUCUCGGUUGGGUUGAGUUCGCAUACACAUCUCCUCGCAGGUUUUUACAACGUUUAUUAGACCAUGAUUAUCCCUAGUCUCUUAACUGGAGUUCUUAGCUUCGAAUAAGAGACGAAUCUUAGUUUUCUUAGAUUUUAACUAAGAAAAUCUAAGAAUCGUCUCUUAAAUAAGAAAUAUAAAAGUCGUCUCUUAGUCGAAAAAUGUAAAAAAAAAUAAAAAACUGUCAAAUCUUGAGUUAAGAACCUCCGGCUAAGAAACCGAGGUUAAUCCCUUAGAGCAUGCUUAACCAUGGUUCUUAAUUUGGGGUUUUUAACUCAUGAUUUGACACUUUUUUGUUUUUGUUUGUUUUUUUAACACUUUUCGGCUAAGAACUGGCUCUUAUAUCUCUUAUUUAAGAGACGGUUCUUAGCUUUUUUAAUUAAAAGCUAAGAAACGGUUCUCAGCCGAAACUAAGAACUUCACCCUAAAAAUCCGAGUUAAUCAUGGUCUUAGAACGCACCAUGCAUAGUGACCAAAUAAUUUAAGCAAACAAAACAAUUUGUUUGAUUAUUUAUUUUGUUUUCUUUAGAGGACUAUGAGGAUUUUACUGUAUUGUUCUGGAGCCUUUUCAUAUUUUUCCCUUCUACCCAAUAAAAUUAGAAAGAAAUUUUUUAUAUAUUUAUACUAUUAUUUUGCGAAGUGAUUUUCGAUUCUGAAAUAUAAUACUUUUAAUGAAAUUUUAUAUAUAAUUAAAACGAAUAUUAUAUUAAUAAUAUUAUAUUUCUAUGGUAUAUUAGAUAAUUGGUUAUAUAUUAAUUUAAUAAAAAUUUCAAAACUAAAAAUACAUCUUUAAAAAGAUAAUUCUUAUAUAUUGUGCUGUUAUCUAGAAAUACUAUUUUCUAUUAUAAAAUUUUUUAAAAUAUUAAUCUGUGUAAAGAUAUUUCUAAAAUAUUUCUAAUAUGUGAGUGAUUUAAAAAAAUUAACACAAUAAUAAGCAUAUAUAUUUUAGUGAAAAAACUUGUUAUAUAUAAUGAUCUGAUGUUUGAUAACUUUUUGAAAACAUUAAUAGUACUUUAUUAUGUUAAUUUUUGAAUUAGUUAAAUAUGUAUUCGUAAAAAAUCGCAUGUGCGGGAAAAUAGUAUAAAUAUGUUUACAGUUUACACUAUGGAAGUUUUUUUUAAUAAUAACAAUGAUGUAUUUAUCCAUGUUGUACGUAGAGGGAACUGUUCCCGGCAUGAAGUAGUACCUACAUGUGGAAGUCCACUAGGACUUAGUUUCGAGAAGAAAACAGGAGACUUGUACAUCUGUGAUGGUUACCUCGGGGUCAUGAAGGUUGGGCCAGAAGGAGGCUUGGCUGAGUUGGUAGUGGACCAGGCUGAAGGUCGCAAAGUAAUGUUUGCAAACCAGAUGGAUAUUGACGAAGAGGAAGAUGUCUUCUACUUCAAUGACAGUAGUGACAAGUAUCAUUUCAGGUAUGUUUUAGGCUUUACCAAACUUAUAUAUAUGCACUUAGGAUCAACCAAUUUUCGAAAUGUUUUACCUAACUUAUUGUGUUACCUAAUGUUUAAGCUUUACUUAACGUUUUAAUCUGUUUUUUUUCUCCACGAAACACAAACUUUCGUAGUUUUAUUUUUUCAUUUUCAAUUUAUAAAUAACAAAUAAAUGGAUAGAAGUUGUAGGCUGUUUCCGGUUGCAUUUUAACAAAGUUUAAUGUAUACCUAAAUUCUAACGCAAAACAAAAUAGCGUUUGAACAAUCUAAAAUUUAAAUCUAACUGUAAUUUUUGUUGGUCAGGGAUGUAUUUUACGUGAUUGUCAACGGUGAGCGGCCAGGAAGAGUGAUCAGAUACAAUAAGAAGACGAAAGAGGCCAAGGUUGUCAUGGACAAUCUCCGUUGUAACAACGGUUUGGCUCUAAACAAAGAUAGAUCUUUCUUAGUCUCAUGUGAGUCUGCCACUGGCCUUGUCCAUCGAUAUUGGAUUAAAGGUCCUAAAGCCGGGACUCGUGAUAUCUUCGCCAAGGUUCCUGGUUAUCCUGACAACAUCCGUUUGACACCCACUGGUGAUUUUUGGAUUGGUAUACACUGUAAGAAAAACUUACUAGGACGAUUGGUUGUGAAUAAUCAGUGGUUAGGGAAGUUGGUUGAAAAGACGGUGAAGUUAGAGUUAUUGAUUGGGUUAGUGAACGGGUUUAAGCCGCAUGGGGUCGCCGUGAAAAUUUCCGGGGAGACGGGGGAGAUAGUUGAGAUACUUGAGGACAAAGAAGGGAAGACAAUGCAGUAUGUGAGUGAGGCUUAUGAGAGAGAUGAUGGUAAGAUAUGGUUUGGGUCCGUUUUCACGCCUGCCGUAUGGGUUCUUGAUCGCAAGUGAGUGAUUCCGUUUGUUGUAUGUACGGAGUCAUGUUUUGUAAGUUAAGUGUCUCUUGUUUGUUGCUUGUAUUUAAAAAUAGACAUGCUUGUAGAGUAGAUGCAUCCACUGUACCAUGUACAGUUUCAAUAACUAAAUACUUCUUGACGCUCCUUCCUCUUGUUUACUUUGUUCACAUACAGCCUCACCCUCGCAGAGAAUAAGAGGCUAACACAAUUGUACUAAGCUCGAUAUGAAUACAUACAGAAAAGUAAUCACAUUACAUAAAGCAAAUAAAUUACAUUCCUGUAUAGCAUUAAUAUUAGUUUAAAACUAAACCUGAAAAGACGAAACUUUUGAUGAAGAACAGCUACAUGAAAGAGAGAGAUAAGACACCUGAGCUUGCAAAGGACGUUCAAGUGUGCAGGUGACUGAUUCAGAGUGGUUCAAUACCCUAGUUUAAACGCGGGGGAGGGGGGGUUCUCUAUGUUUAAACAACUGAACAUAGAAUUGUUUAAAGGUCAUUUGUGUUUAAAUUAAACCCAUUGAAGGGUUUUAAUAGGCCCAAUUAAGAGAUAGAGAGACCAGAAAAGUAAAGCUAUGGAAACUGAUCCCUUCAUAUUUUUACCAUUUUGGAAUAUUUUGACAUGUUCCUUGAAAAGUAUCAGUCUGAUGUCUGAAACAGAGAAGCAUACUUGUUUUAAAGGUAAUGAUUGUAGUUGACCCUAGGUCGUUGUAGUUGACCCUAGGUCGAUAAUGCCUUUACAUUAUAGAUCACCGACCGUUGUUUAUUGAAUUUAACCUUUAUAUAUUUAUCAACAAAUGUUUUUUUUUUUUGGUGGGUCAACAAAUAAAUAAAAUGCUUAUGUAUAUGCUGACAACUUGCUUAUGUAUAGGCUUACAACAUUAGAAUUGUUUGGCUGAACCUUCUUCCACCUGAUUUCCACGAGCCUCCAACACUUUCUUGAGGCCGAGUCAUCUUUCAGUAUGUGAACUCUAAUUCUUUAGUGUCAAUGAGUGUACUCUUAAUGCCUGCAAUAUUCUUAUUAAUUGUGACUGGACAUAGCUCUCGCGUGGUACGUAGACUCUGGCGUGUGCCCACUUACGUCCUGAGAUCCAAAUAUUUCUCUUUAUAGUAUAAGUAAGUCGUAUAACACUUCGGAAACACUUAUUAUAUAGUUUCUUAAAUUUUAUUUAACUAGAGAUUUAUUUGUUUAUUUUAUCCUAUUAUCCGGAUAUAAAUAUAUUCCACAAUUAUAUCUCCACCUAUAGUUCAGGGAAGUCCCAGCUUCAAGAGAGAACGUAAUCUUAUAACUUGACAGUAAGCAAACAAAAAUGUGUGCAUUAGUCCCUCCAGUGUUCCCAAACUUUGGGUGGCCGUCGACAGGAGAGUACGAGAGUAACUACCUGGCAGGAGUGAACCUCGAGGACUUUACGUUUCUUGAUUUUCCGGCACCAGAGACAUAUGGAGUGGAACAUUAUCAGGAGAUUCAGGAAAUGUUGGGGGUCUCUGUUCCGUCCGAGGGGAAUGGAGUCUUAACCAAGAAGCUUAAUCACAAUGCUAGUGAGCGUGACCGUCGCAAGAAGAUCAACUCUUUGUUCUCGUCUCUCCGUUCAUGUCUCCCAGCUUCUGAUCAAACGGUAAGUAGCUACUCCGCUAUAUCGUCUAAUUAGUUUCACCUCAAAACCAAAUAGCAAUAAUUAGAUAAUUAGUCUGCUCAUUACAUUAUUUUAUGUGAUAUUUAUAAUACGCUUGUCCAUACAUCUAAUACCAUUUAGAGGAAGAAUAUUGAAUUAACUCUUUUUUCUUUAAUUUCUUUAAUUUCUUUCUUGCAAAAGAAGCUAAGUAUUCCUCAGACGGUUUCUCGGAGCUUGAAGUACAUUCCAGAGCUGCAAGAGCAAGUGAAGAAGCUAAUACAAAAGAAGGAAGAACUCUUGGUGCGAGUAUCAGGUCAAAGAGCCAUUGAACAUUACGUUGAGCCGCAGCCAAAGGCCGUUGCACGUUACGUCUCGACCAUUUCUGCGACUAAGCUUGGAGACAACGAAGUGAUGGUCCAAAUCUCAUCGUCCAAGAAUCAUAACUUUUCGAUAUCUAAUGUGUUGAGUGGGUUAGAAGAAGAUGGGUUUGUUCUUGUUGAUGUUUCAUCUUCAAGGUAUCAUGGAGAAUGGCUCUUCUACUCUUUGCAUCUUCAAAUCUAUAUAUAUAAAGAAAUGUUCGCCUCUCUCCCGUGAAGCCACAUCAUCAAUUUGUGCGUUUUGGGAGUGACACGUGUCCCAUUUUAUAUUUAGGGCCAAAAUAAAUAAAUGCAGUUAAGGGUAAUUGAACCCAGCACCUCUAGCACUGGUAAUUUCUCUUAGAACCACUAGGCUAAAGUCACUUUUUAUAAAUAUGUGGCCGCGAAAAUACUUAUUAUCGUGUCAGCUGGAAGCCCAUGCUUCUUCUGCUUGUGGCCAGGGCCGACACUGAACUGACGUCAAGAUGAAAAUCGUGAAGUUAAAAACUUUGCUCCAAACAGUUUUGCAAUGUUUCCAACCUUUAUAACUUGAUGCAUAUAAUAUAUAUCAAAAUACAUUUGUUGUACACGCUUUUAUUAGUUUUGCUUUUAAAAGAAAUUAUUUACAGUUAUAAAUGUUUUGUGCCAGUGAAGUAAUAGUUGAAAAAUCUCUAUACAUAUGUUAUUUUAAAAUAACACUCAACUUCUAUAUAUAGUCAAUACAUAUGUGCAUGUUAUAUUCUAGACUAAAUAUUUUCUCUUUUAAAAAUAUAAAAAACAAUUUUUUUAGUCUACAAGCAAAUGUUGUAGAACAAGUAUGCAUUAUACAAAAUAAUAUAUAUUUAAAAUCCAUACACAAAAACAUAAAAGUUGUUACAGGCUUCUUUCUGACACAUGCACACUCCACUAUGAAUAAAAAUUAAAAAAAAAACAGUAUUGUCAUCAGACUUUAUCACAAAUCUACAUUUGUACAUCUAUAAUUAUGAGUUAUACAAUUAGUUAAUUUGAUACAAUACCAAAGCAAGAAUAAUCGAAAAACAACUAUACCACCGCAUACUAAUAAGUAAGACAUAACAGAUAACCAAAUUCUUAAAUCUUAAAACAAAUUUCAACUCGAGCAUUUAGUGAAUAUCAAAUUAACUAAUAUCCCGCCCGUAGGGCGGGCCGACCCUAGUGGGAAAUAAAGAUAAUCACAAACUGAAGUGCGAAGAGCUAGGCCAGAGAAUUUUGUACUUGUACGAGGAAUGUGAAAACUCAUUUAGAUGAUAAUUUGUUAUUGUUUCUUUUAGUUAAAAAGUAAGAGACCGUAUCUUAUAUUACGCUAAAAGACCCAACCUAAGAAACCUGCAAUAAACAUGCUCUAAUAUCCAUGUAGUCAAGUUGUUUCGUUUAUUUUUCUUGUCGAAGUCAAUGAUCGAUUAUUACAUUUACAUGCUAUUGAAUAUUGACUGAUUACUAUGAAAUUCAUGUUACUGAAAACUUUUAUUUUUGUUUAGACUUUUGUCUUUGGGGGCUCAACUUUUUGUCGUCUUCUACUCUUUGUUUAUGUAUUUUUUAAUUAUUUACAUAUUGUUAACAGUUAGUUGUGUAUUGUAUAUUAAUAAAAUCAACAAGGAAAAUUUAUUUUUUCAGGCAAAAAAAUGAUAACUAUGUUCUAUUAGGCUAAUUUUUCUUUUGUAUCAUUUUUUCCUCUAAUAUUCUUAAGUAUUUUCUAAAAUAAAUUUAAUAAAUAGUUUUACAAACAAAAAAAAUUCAAAAAAUAGUAACCACUGAUGAAAUACCUAUAUCAACUUAUUGGUAUUUUUUUCCAAUUCUAAAAAUGUUUAAAUCAUAAUUUUAAAUUUUGUUCUACAAAAAAUAGAAUUGACAUUCUACACAGUAGAAAAUGUAAUCCACUUUUUUCAUUGAAUCUAAUAUGUUUGGAAUACGUCAUCUACCUAAACAAUAGUAAUCUAAAAAUAUUUGGAAAACACAUUUCGCGCUUAACCUAUCAUUCUAAAAAUUGUAGAAUUUGAAAUCUACACAUUACUAUAAAUCUAAACCUGUAGAAAUCGUAAUAUACACAUUACUAUAAAUCUAAAACUAGUAGAAAUCGAUUUAAAACAUGUUUAAUGUGUUCUACAUAUACUAGAAUAAAGAUUCUACGGAUAAGAAUAAUCAGUUCCAAAAAUAUGGGAAGAGAAUAUUUGGAAAUAUUCAGUUUCCUUAAAUUUAUUAAAUCGAUUUUUUUUUAAAAAAAUCGUGAUUUAUAAAAUUAAUUUUUAAAUUAAAAAAAAUAAAACAUCGAUUUGGAAAUUUUUUCUCAUGCCAUCUUCUUCUCCCCUUUGUUCUUCAAGGAGAAGAGAAAAAUGAGUUUGAUUGAUUAGAAAUCGAGUUUUAAGAGUUCACCUCGUGUUUGUUCGGUUCAAAUCAAGUGGGAAUCAAACCGGAUUUAACCGACGAAAACCAGGAAAUCGAUUUGGAAGACUUACCUAGGCACGAGAUCGAUCGAUCCUGAAGACGCGACCGAUCGAUCCCGAAGACGCGACCGAUCGAUCGAAGUGGGAUCGAGCUUCUGCGAUCGACUGACCUGGGCUUGGUCGAUCAGUAUAUGCUCUGCAUAUUUUUGUUGUUCUGGAUAAAUUUAUCAGGAUCGACCGGUUUAGAUUGAACUUUUGCUUACGGGAUUGAUCGAUCCCUUUGAGAAAAAAACUUCGAACUUUAGAUUUUUUUGGAGAUUUUUAAUAUUUUAUUUUAAUUAUUUUAGUUAAAAUUAUAUUUUAAUAUUUAACAAUGUUUUAUUAAUUGCAAUUUUGAAAAUUUUAAUUGAAAUUAAGGACAAUAUUGUCAUUUUGAAAAUAUUUAGACUAAUAGGACAUAAAGUAUAUGAGAUUAGCCUAAUAGGACAUAGUUAUCAUUUAUUUGACCUAAAAAAAAACAAUUUUCCCAAUCAACAAAGACAAAAGUGGUCCUUAAGCUUAUAACUAACUGUAUCACUAAUAUGAUAUAAUGGACAACAUUAUAUUCUCUAUAAAAACUGAACAUAGAAUUUUUUAAAGGUCAUUUGUGUUUAAAUUAAGAAAAAAUUGUCAAAACACCACAGAAGACCAACUACAUUGUCCCUAUAGCAUAAAUCCUUUUUUGGUCGGAUUUGGACUUAGAUACCCCUGGCCAACUUAAAAAAUUCAUAUCAAUUAUUUUAAGAGUCAGAAAAAUAUGAAAAAUUAUUCAAAAUGUACAUAAACAUGAAACAAUCAUAUGAAAAAUAAUUUGGCUGACUAAAUAUUAGUGUAACAUAAUUUCAUAUUUUGAUCUUCAGAUCGCAGAAAACAAAAUCUACUAACUACGGAUAUGUAGAUCGUAGUUUCGGUUAACUACAUAUAUAUCUGGCGCUUGAAGAUGUUAAAAUCUACGAUUUCGUAAUAUGUCUACUACCGCAGAAAGAAAAGGUUACGGUUUUGCUUACGAUCUGAACCCCGAAAGAUUUCAUGAACUAAUGUCUCCUAUAUAUCUACUGGCUCGGAAUCAUAGAAUCUGCCAGUUACUAAUACUCUACCAUGGUAAUAUUUCGUUAUCUACUAAGAUAUUAUAACCUAUCUCUGCCGGAUUAUACAUUCUGCCAUCAUAUCUACCAUCAUAUAUACAAUCUACUGGCAACAAAAUGCAUGUUCUGCCAAAUUCGAAUUAUUUUCGAAAAUAUUCCUUAAAUCUUUCCAAAAUCUGUUGAAAAAUAUUUUGUAAAUCUUUAAUUUCCCAAAUUUUACGUGUUUCCUAAAGUUAUGUUUUAAAAAAAAAAACCGUGACCUCUCUUCUUCUUCUUCACAAGUUCUUGAUUAAUUUUGAAACCAUCCCAAAAAUUUGAACCCCUUGUUGAAGAACAUGCAUAUCUAUGCCUCUUGUGGGGUGUGGAAAUUUGAUCCCUGUAAAGGAUGGGGAUUUUGCUUUUGAUAAGGUAAAAGGAGGAAGAGUACUUGCUGUGGAAUUGACAAGUUCCUUUGAAGAUCUAAGGACUACGGCUUUUGAGGAUUUUGGAAUUGACCAAAACGAUGUCGAGCUUGAGUUAACCUACUUACCUAUGGAGUUAAUCAAUACGAUAGACUGUCCUCCAGUUAUCAUUGAGAAUGAUCGGCAAGUCAAGAAUUUUCUUACAUAUGUACGUGGAAAAGCUUCUUCAAGGUUGUGUGUGUCUAUUUCACAUGUCAAUGCAAACAACGACAACAUUGAGCUUGAUAAGGAGCAAUCUAACGCGUCUGGCAGAGAGCGAGGUGAGCCUUCCUCAUUUUCACCUGGAGAUGGCAUUGGUAGUUCUUGUGAAUCGAGCCAGGAUGGUGAAGACGAAUGUAACUCGAACGCCCCAGAAGAAGAUGAAGAUGCUGACUUAAGUGUAAAAGAAGAGGAUAAGGGAAUAAGUGUUCGGUUCUCUUUGAAGGAUGUUGUGAAGAGGGGUGAAACGUUUCAAAACAAAUCUAAGUUGAAAGCAGCAUUGGAAAUGUCAGCAAUGAAGAAUAACUUCGAUUACAAAGUUGUGAAUUCAGAUAGAAAACUUUGGUACAUCCGAUGCGUGGACAACAAGUGUAGGUGGAGUGUUCGUGCUGAGGGGUUAUCAGGAUCCACAUAUUUCAUCAUCAAAAAAUAUGUGGCGGAUCAUACAUGUGCUGCGUCAAGUAUGAAUAAUGGUGGUCGGACAGCUUCUGCAAAAACUAUUGGGAGUCUAAUAAUGCAUAGGUAUGAUGGUGUCAAAGAAGGUCCCAAAGCUAAUGAUAUCAUACAGAUUAUGAGAAUGGAACAUGGAUGCGAGAUAUCUAAAUCAUUAGCGUGGGACGCUCGUGAGUAUGCGAUUAGUCUGGUUAGAGGCAUUCCCGAGCAGAGUUUUGGAAAAAUUCCGAAAUACUUGCACAUGCUGAAAGAAGCUAAUCCAGGAACACACACCUUUUACGAAACCGAUGUUGAUGGUAAAUUCAGAUUUCUCUUUGUUUCGUUUGGGCAAUCAGUACGAGGUUUUCAUACAUCCAUGCGAAAAGUUUUUGUUGUUGAUGAGACAUUUUUGAAGAGCAAAUACAAAGGGGUAUUACUUGUUGCAACAACUUUAGAUGGAGACUCCAACUUGUAUCCUAUUGCAUUUGCGGUUGUGGACUCAGAAAAUGAUCGUUCAUGGGAUUGGUUUUUCAGACAACUAAAGGUUGUUGUUCCGGACGAGCGUGCUCUUGCCUUUGUGUCGGACAGAAAUAACUCACUUUGUAAGGGGCUUGAGAAUGUGUAUCCUCUUUCUCAACAUGGAAUUUGUAUUCACCAUUUGUUAAAUAAUGUGGUCACACAUUACAGAGGAAAAGGAGUGGUUGGAUUGAUUGCAAAAGCUUCUAAAGCUUAUAGAGUUGUUGAUUUUCAGAAGCGAUUCNNNNNNNNNNNNNNNNNNNNNNNNNNNNNNNNNNNNNNNNNNNNNNNNNNNNNNNNNNNNNNNNNNNNNNNNNNNNNNNNNNNNNNNNNNNNNNNNNNNNNNNNNNNNNNNNNNNNNNNNNNNNNNNNNNNNNNNNNNNNNNNNNNNNNNNNNNNNNNNNNNNNNNNNNNNNNNNNNNNNNNNNNNNNNNNNNNNNNNNNNNNNNNNNNNNNNNNNNNNNNNNNNNNNNNNNNNNNNNNNNNNNNNNNNNNNNNNNNNNNNNNNNNNNNNNNNNNNNNNNNNNNNNNNNNNNNNNNNNNNNNNNNNNNNNNNNNNNNNNNNNNNNNNNNNNNNNNNNNNNNNNNNNNNNNNNNNNNNNNNNNNNNNNNNNNNNNNNNNNNNNNNNNNNNNNNNNNNNNNNNNNNNNNNNNNNNNNNNNNNNNNNNNNNNNNNNNNNNNNNNNNNNNNNNNNNNNNNNNNNNNNNNNNNNNNNNNNNNNNNNNNNNNNNNNNNNNNNNNNNNNNNNNNNNNNNNNNNNNNNNNNNNNNNNNNNNNNNNNNNNNNNNNNNNNNNNNNNNNNNNNNNNNNNNNNNNNNNNNNNNNNNNNNNNNNNNNNNNNNNNNNNNNNNNNNNNNNNNNNNNNNNNNNNNNNNNNNNNNNNNNNNNNNNNNNNNNNNNNNNNNNNNNNNNNNNNNNNNNNNNNNNNNNNNNNNNNNNNNNNNNNNNNNNNNNNNNNNNNNNNNNNNNNNNNNNNNNNNNNNNNNNNNNNNNNNNNNNNNNNNNNNNNNNNNNNNNNNNNNNNNNNNNNNNNNNNNNNNNNNNNNNNNNNNNNNNNNNNNNNNNNNNNNNNNNNNNNNNNNNNNNNNNNNNNNNNNNNNNNNNNNNNNNNNNNNNNNNNNNNNNNNNNNNNNNNNNNNNNNNNNNNNNNNNNNNNNNNNNNNNNNNNNNNNNNNNNNNNNNNNNNNNNNNNNNNNNNNNNNNNNNNNNNNNNNNNNNNNNNNNNNNNNNNNNNNNNNNNNNNNNNNNNNNNNNNNNNNNNNNNNNNNNNNNNNNNNNNNNNNNNNNNNNNNNNNNNNNNNNNNNNNNNNNNNNNNNNNNNNNNNNNNNNNNNNNNNNNNNNNNNNNNNNNNNNNNNNNNNNNNNNNNNNNNNNNNNNNNNNNNNNNNNNNNNNNNNNNNNNNNNNNNNNNNNNNNNNNNNNNNNNNNNNNNNNNNNNNNNNNNNNNNNNNNNNNNNNNNNNNNNNNNNNNNNNNNNNNNNNNNNNNNNNNNNNNNNNNNNNNNNNNNNNNNNNNNNNNNNNNNNNNNNNNNNNNNNNNNNNNNNNNNNNNNNNNNNNNNNNNNNNNNNNNNNNNNNNNNNNNNNNNNNNNNNNNNNNNNNNNNNNNNNNNNNNNNNNNNNNNNNNNNNNNNNNNNNNNNNNNNNNNNNNNNNNNNNNNNNNNNNNNNNNNNNNNNNNNNNNNNNNNNNNNNNNNNNNNNNNNNNNNNNNNNNNNNNNNNNNNNNNNNNNNNNNNNNNNNNNNNNNNNNNNNNNNNNNNNNNNNNNNNNNNNNNNNNNNNNNNNNNNNNNNNNNNNNNNNNNNNNNNNNNNNNNNNNNNNNNNNNNNNNNNNNNNNNNNNNNNNNNNNNNNNNNNNNNNNNNNNNNNNNNNNNNNNNNNNNNNNNNNNNNNNNNNNNNNNNNNNNNNNNNNNNNNNNNNNNNNNNNNNNNNNNNNNNNNNNNNNNNNNNNNNNNNNNNNNNNNNNNNNNNNNNNNNNNNNNNNNNNNNNNNNNNNNNNNNNNNNNNNNNNNNNNNNNNNNNNNNNNNNNNNNNNNNNNNNNNNNNNNNNNNNNNNNNNNNNNNNNNNNNNNNNNNNNNNNNNNNNNNNNNNNNNNNNNNNNNNNNNNNNNNNNNNNNNNNNNNNNNNNNNNNNNNNNNNNNNNNNNNNNNNNNNNNNNNNNNNNNNNNNNNNNNNNNNNNNNNNNNNNNNNNNNNNNNNNNNNNNNNNNNNNNNNNNNNNNNNNNNNNNNNNNNNNNNNNNNNNNNNNNNNNNNNNNNNNNNNNNNNNNNNNNNNNNNNNNNNNNNNNNNNNNNNNNNNNNNNNNNNNNNNNNNNNNNNNNNNNNNNNNNNNNNNNNNNNNNNNNNNNNNNNNNNNNNNNNNNNNNNNNNNNNNNNNNNNNNNNNNNNNNNNNNNNNNNNNNNNNNNNNNNNNNNNNNNNNNNNNNNNNNNNNNNNNNNNNNNNNNNNNNNNNNNNNNNNNNNNNNNNNNNNNNNNNNNNNNNNNNNNNNNNNNNNNNNNNNNNNNNNNNNNNNNNNNNNNNNNNNNNNNNNNNNNNNNNNNNNNNNNNNNNNNNNNNNNNNNNNNNNNNNNNNNNNNNNNNNNNNNNNNNNNNNNNNNNNNNNNNNNNNNNNNNNNNNNNNNNNNNNNNNNNNNNNNNNUAGAAAGAUAAGAGAACUGAUUUGUGAAAUCCGUAUUAACCACUCCAAGGCUGGAUUUCUCCUCAGCCAGCAGGAUUUCUCUUCCACCACCUAGCCAACAAAUCAAACUUUUGUUUUUUUGUUUCUUUUUUUUUUUUUAGUUUUUUUUUUCUAAUUUAAAAAAAAGAAAAUUAAAAAGCAGACCAAUCGCGGAGCGCCACGUGUCGGUGGAACCCGCAAACAGUGCAAAACACACACAUCAGUCGUUUCUUAUUUUGCCCACUUUGCAUACGGUUUUUCUAAAACCUCGGCCCCCCACCGCUUUAGAGACGUUAAAAAUGUAGCGAUAAUAAUGCUCUAAUAGUGACAUAAAACAUAACAAUUAAAAGCCAGGAAAGUAACUUUUUUUAAGAAAAAAUUGCCAAAACACCACAGAAAAACAACUACAUUGUCCCUAUACCAUAAAUCAUUUUUUUGUCAGAUUUGGACUUAGAUACCUCUGGUCAACUUCAAAAAUUCAUAUCAAUUAUUUUAAGAGUCAGAAAAAUAUGAAAAAUUAUUCAAAAUGUACAUAAACAUGAAACAAUCAUAUGAAAAAUAAUUUGGCUGACUAAAUAUUAGUGUAACAUAAUUUCAUAUUUUGAUCUUCAGAUCGCAGAAAACAAAAUCUACUAACUACGGAUAUGUAGAUCGUAGUUUCGGUUAACUACAUAUAUAUCUGGCGCUUGAAGAUGUUAAAAUCUACGAUUUCGUAAUAUGUCUACUACCGCAGAAAGAAAAGGUUACGGUUUUGCUUACGAUCUGAACCCCGAAAGAUUUCAUGAACUAAUGUCUCCUAUAUAUCUACUGGCUCGGAAUCAUAGAAUCUGCCAGUUACUAAUACUCUACCAUGGUAAUAUUUCGUUAUCUACUAAGAUAUUAUAACCUAUCUCUGCCGGAUUAUACAUUCUGCCAUCAUAUCUACCAUCAUAUAUACAAUCUACUGGCAGCAGAAUGCAUGUUCUGCCAAAUUCGAAUUAUUUUCGAAAAUAUUCCUUAAAUCUCUCCAAAAUCUGUUGAAAAAUAUUUUGUAAAUCUUUAAUUUCCCAAAUUUUACGUGUUUCCUAAAGUUAUGUUUUUAAAAAAUAACUGUGACCUCUCUUCUUCUUCUUCACAAGUUCUUGAUUAAUUUUGAAACCACCCCAAAAAUUUGAACCCCUUGUUGAAGAACAUGCAUAUCUAUGCCUCUUGUGGGGUGUGGAAAUUUGAUCCCUGUAAAGGAUGGGGAUUUUGCUUUUGAUAAGGUAAAAGGAGGAAGAGUACUUGCUGUGGAAUUGACAAGUUCCUUUGAAGAUCUAAGGACUACGGCUUUUGAAGAUUUUGGAAUUGACCAAAACGAUGUCGAGCUUGAGUUAACCUACUUACCUAUGGAGUUAAUCAAUACGAUAGACUGUCCUCCAGUUAUCAUUGAGAAUGAUCGGCAAGUCAAGAAUUUUCUUACAUAUGUACGUGGAAAAGCUUCUUCAAGGUUGUGUGUGUCUAUUUCACAUGUCAAUGCAAACAACGACAACAUUGAGCUUGAUAAGGAGCAAUCUAACGCGUCUGGCAGAGAGCGAGGUGAGCCUUCCUCAUUUUCACCUGGAGAUGGCAUUGGUAGUUCUUGUGAAUCGAGCCAGGAUGGUGAAGACGAAUGUAACUCGAACGCCCCAGGUGUGUGCAAUAUUAGUCCAGCUAUUGGAAAAUAUUUAAGAGAUGCAGAUGUUACAAAGUGGGCUCGCUGUCAGUUUCAAGGAUACAGGUACGACAUCAGGACGACAAACCCGGCUGAGUCAAUAAACUCUGCUUUGCGCUCACCAAGAGAGUAUCCAGUCAUUCCUUUGUUGGAUAGCAUCAAAGAAAUGCUUACCCGUUGGUUCUUCGAACGACGCACACGAAGCAGGAAGCACACAAAACCAUUAACUAUUGCCAUCGAGAAAAAGAUAGAUAGACGGAUUAACAAGGGUAAAAUGUUUCUUGUCCAGCCAGUUAACGUGCAUCAUUUUUUGGUUCGCGGAGAUACAAUCGACUGCCUGGUUGAUUUGGACAGAAGAACAUGCUCUUGUGGGAAAUACGACCUACUGAAAAUCCCAUGUAGACACGCAAUCAAGGCUGGUUUAACAGUUGGCAUGAUGGUGUCAAAGAAGGUCCCAAAGCUAAUGAUAUCAUACAGAUUAUGAGAAUGGAACAUGGAUGCGAGAUAUCUAAAUCAUUAGCGUGGGACGCUCGUGAGUAUGCGAUUAGUCUGGUUAGAGGCAUUCCCGAGCAGAGUUUUGGAAAAAUUCCGAAAUACUUGCACAUGCUGAAAGAAGCAAAUCCAGGAACACACACCUUUUAUGAAACCGAUGUUGAUGGUAAAUUCAGAUUUCUCUUUGUUUCGUUUGGGCAAUCAGUAUGAGGUUUUCAUACAUCCAUGCGAAAAGUUCUUGUUAUUGAUGGGACAUUUUUGAAGAGCAAAUACAAAGGAGUAUUACUUGUUGCGACGACUUUAGAUGGAAACUCCAACUUGUAUCCUAUUGCAUUUGCGGUUGUGGACUCGGAAAAUGAUCGUUCAUGGGAUUGGUUUUUCAGACAACUAAAGGUUGUUGUUCCGGACGAGCGUGCUCUUGCCUUUGUGUCGGACAGAAAUAAUUCACUUUGUAAGGCGCUUGAGAAUGUGUAUCCUCUUUCUCAACGUGGAAUUUGUAUUCACCAUUUGUUGAAUAAUGUGGUCACACAUUACAGAGGAAAGGGAGUGGUUGGAUUGAUUGCAAAAGCUUCUAAAGCUUAUAGAGUUGUUGAUUUUCAGAAGCGAUUCCAAGCUGUGUGCAAUAUUAGUCCAGCUAUUGGAAAAUAUUUAAGAGAUGCAGAUGUUACAAAGUGGGCUCGCUGUCAGUUUCAAGGAUACAGGUACGACAUCAGGACGACAAACCCGGCUGAGUCAAUAAACUCUGCUUUGCGCUCACCAAGAGAGUAUCCAGUCAUUCCUUUGUUGGAUAGCAUCAAAGAAAUGCUUACCCGUUGGUUCUUCGAACGACGCACACGAAGCAGGAAGCACACAAAACCAUUAACUAUUGCCAUCGAGAAAAAGAUAGAUAGACGGAUUAACAAGGGUAAAACGUUUCUUGUCCAGCCAGUUAACGAGCAUCGUUUUUUGGUUCGCGGAGAUACAAUCGACUGCCUGGUUGAUUUGGACAGAAGAACCUGCUCNNNNNNNNNNNNNNNNNNNNNNNNNNNNNNNNNNNNNNNNNNNNNNNNNNNNNNNNNNNNNNNNNNNNNNNNNNNNNNNNNNNNNNNNNNNNNNNNNNNNNNNNNNNNNNNNNNNNNNNNNNNNNNNNNNNNNNNNNNNNNNNNNNNNNNNNNNNNNNNNNNNNNNNNNNNNNNNNNNNNNNNNNNNNNNNNNNNNNNNNNNNNNNNNNNNNNNNNNNNNNNNNNNNNNNNNNNNNNNNNNNNNNNNNNNNNNNNNNNNNNNNNNNNNNNNNNNNNNNNNNNNNNNNNNNNNNNNNNNNNNNNNNNNNNNNNNNNNNNNNNNNNNNNNNNNNNNNNNNNNNNNNNNNNNNNNNNNNNNNNNNNNNNNNNNNNNNNNNNNNNNNNNNNNNNNNNNNNNNNNNNNNNNNNNNNNNNNNNNNNNNNNNNNNNNNNNNNNNNNNNNNNNNNNNNNNNNNNNNNNNNNNNNNNNNNNNNNNNNNNNNNNNNNNNNNNNNNNNNNNNNNNNNNNNNNNNNNNNNNNNNAAUUCUUCAAUUCCCAACAAUCCUUCUUCAAGUGACCCUUCUUGCCACAGUGGUAGCAUUUAAAAGUCUUCUUACUUCUUGACUUUGAUCUACCAUGUUUGUGACUCCCACUUGAGCCAUGUUCCAUUGAUCUCCCUCUCAUCACCGUCAAUGCCUCUAUUUGGGAAUUUUCUCGUCUGUCUUCCUUACUUUUGCGCCGACUUUCUUCUUCUAGAACCGCAGCUGCAACAUCGUCAAAGACUAGACUGUCGGUGGAGACAUUAUUUGUUAAGUUGAUGAUGAGUUGAUCAUAUGAAUCUGGUAGACUUUGAAGUAGAAGCUCAGAAUUUUCUUGUGAUUCUACUUUAUAACUCAACGAAGUGAGUUGAGAAAAUAAAGUAUUCAACGUGUUGAUGUGCUCCGUCACUGAAGUAUAUUCUCCCAUCCGAAGGGUAUAAAGCUUCUGGAUAGAGCAGGAUCACAGCUAAUAAUUUGAGAAAUAGUGUAAUAAAUGGAACACCGGAUUUAACGUGGAAAACCCCAAAGGGUAAAAACUACGGACAAGGUAGAAGAAUUUAUUACGAGAAAAAUAAUAGGAGUUACAACCUCUCAAUUAUAACGGAGAAAUCGAUUAAUAAUUUUCUCGUUAUAAUAGGAGAAAAUACCAAAACUCUCUAAAUAAUUUUCUCUCAACCCGAUCCCAAAUACCCGUAAGAAAUUUUUUUUUUUUUUCUCUCUCACGUUCUUCUUCUUCCUCACUUCUCUCUGUGAUUUUGAUUUUUGGGAUGAAUGAAAUGGUUCACCAUAUCUCUCAUUUUAUAAGCAUGAAGAAGGUGUUUGGUGAGCUCACAAUCUUUGACAAAACCAACGUCAAUAAUUUCAGCCACCUAACAUCACCGUCCAUGCCAUCACCGUCCACUCCUCCGACCAUCAUAUUAAAAACGUGUUUUAACAUAUUUCAGUAUGUAAAUAAUAAUGUUAUUAUAGUUUUCAUAUGCCUCUUCAAUUCCUAUACAUUAUAUCCAAGGAAGGAUGACUGGACCUAGUGCAUGCGUGGAACAUAAGCUCCCGAACGUGCCAAACUGUGUCCUACCGCUACCAAGACCUACAUAUUUAUCAUUGUAGUAAAUAUAAGUAUAUAUAACGCAUAACUAUAUAGUCUGAACGAAUCAAAUUACAACUUUAUUAUAUAGGUUUUUUUUUUUGAAAAAUCUUUAUUAUAUAGUUUGUAGAUUAAUAUCUAACAACGUAGAUUUUUUUCUUAAAUCCUUUAUCCGCUAUAUAAUCGGGAGACACUUUUAUUCCAGCCAAAGUACAGCUUCGAUAGAAAACAUAAGCUAUAAACUUGUCUCUAAUUAAGCAAAGAAAAUGUGUGCAUUGGUCCCUCCAGUGUACGAGAGCUACGAGAGAGUACGAGAGCUACUACGGUAGUGGAGAGUACCUCACCAACGGCACAUUUUUUUAUUUUCCGGAGACUUUUGGAGUGGUUCAUCAACAGAACGUGCUUAGGGGUUUCUGUUUCGUCAGAAGUAAUUGGAAUAGACAAGAACCCGGUUGUAACCAAGAAGCUUAAACACAAUGCAAGCGAGCGUGACCGUCAGAAGAAGAUCAACUCUUUGUUCUCAUCUCUGCGUUCCUGUCUUCCAGCCUCUGAUCAAUCGGUAAGUAGCUACUCUGAUAAAUCAUAUAUGUCUCUAUAUUAUUUAGAGGAAGAAUAUAAAACUAACACUUUUUUCUUUACUUUCUUGCAGAAGAAGUUAAGUAUUCCUAAACGGUUUCGAGGAGCUUGAAGUACAUACCAGAGCUGCAAGAGGAAGUGAAGAAGCUAAUACAAAAGAAGGAAGAACUUUUGGUGCGAGUAUCGGGUCAAAGAGACAUUGAACAUCACGUUAAGCAGCAACCAAAGGUGGUUGUGCGUUAUGUCUCGACUGUGUCUGUGACUAGGCUUGGAGACAACGAAGUGAUGGUCCAAAUCUCAUCGUCCAAGAUUCAUAGCUUUUGGAUAUCUAAUGUGUUAAGUGGGUUAGAAGAAGAUGGGUUUUGUUCUUGUGGAUGUUUCAUCGCCAAGGUCUCAUGGUGAAAGGCUUUUCUACACUUUGCAUCUUCAAAUGGGAUAUAUUGAUUACAAGAUGGAUUGCACAGAAUUAAGUCAGAGGAUUUUGUUUCUUUAGAAGAUAACUUGGUUGGUUUCUUUUAGUUAUGUCGUUCCUUUCUCUUCAACAUCGAACAUUCUUGAUCCCUAAGCAUUGUAAUUGAGUUGUUUCGGUUUACUAUGCAAAUAAUAUUACAGAAUUAAAUUUUUAAUUCUUUUUAUUUACUUCGACUCAACAUUACUGGUAAUAUACUCUUGUUCCGAAAUUUCGCUAGGUGUUGUACAUACACUUGAAUACUACUGAAUUGUGAAAAUAUCAAAAAUUAUCAGGGAUUUAUUUUUAUUCUUAUACUAUACUAGGUGUUUUGACCGCACAUGCGGACAUAAUUCUUUUAUAAAUAUUUAUUAAUAAAUAUACUAUUAGUUUAAAGAUCAAAAUUUUAAUUAAAACAUUAAAUUUAUACUAUUUUAUGAAUCUUUUAAUUUCUUUAAAUUUAUACUAUUUUAUAAAUCUUUUAAUUUCUUAGUUUUACUUUUACAGAUUUAAAACAUUAUUUUGGAUAAAACAUUAAUAUAUUAAUUUAAAAUAUGUUGUAAUAAUUAAAUAAAAUAUAUAUAUAAUUGUUAAUAUAAAGUGAUGUUUUCAAACCAAGGGAAAUUGCCACAAAUAUCACAUUCAUAGUACCACUUUUACUCUCACUUUUAAUGAAGGGUAAAAGACAUUUAUACCCUUAGAAUUAACUAAUCUAGAAUUAGGGUUUAAAGUUGAGAGGUGGGAUAUGGUUAUUGGAAUGUGAAAUUUAGGAUUCUAAUAAAUAUAUAAAUAAAUCCUUAAAAAAUAUAAAAAAAAAAUUUCAAACAUAAUUUUUGAUUUUCAAAAAGAAAUUUUGAAAAAACAAUUUGAAUUUUUUUUUAUAAAAAGUUCGAAUUUGAAAAAGUAUAAUUCGAAAACAUAAAAAAUAAAAAUUUAUUUUUAUUUUUUAAUUUUUAAUAUUUUAUUUAAAUAAUUAUUUAUUAUAUAUAUAUAUAUAACAUGGUUAUAAGAGUCUUUUGCCACUUAAUGAAAAAAAUAAUUCUGAAAAUGUCUCUUUAGUGGUAGUAAAGAUAAAUAAUAGUACCAUGAAAGUGGUAAACAUGAAAUUCCCCCUCAAACCAAAUGUAAGGCUAUGAAUAUGAUGCAGUACAAAAGCAGAAGAAACACAGGAGAAAUAGUCUUCAGUUUUAUAUGCACUUUUUGUCUAUUCAUCAUUAAUAUGCAGAACAAAAAGAAAAUAAUAUAAUAUUUAGUAAACUGUUUGUAAAUAAUUUUAUAUGUAAGAAAAAAAUUGUCCCGCAAACAUAGCAAAAAAAAGAAGAUGGCCAAAAAUAGAGGCCCAAUAGGUAAUUUUCUUCUUCUUUUUCUUAUAAAUACUACACCCAUCUUAAUUUAUUUCAUUAAUAAACAAAACAAAUUCUAUAAUUUUUUUGUAAACACUUAUAUAUUUUUUUACUUGACAUAUUCAUAAAUUUAACAUAAUUUUCUGCAUAAAUAUUUAUUUAGCUACACUAAAUAAUCUUAUAUAAUAUUUAAAUAAAUAGAAAACAUAUAUGGUUGGUUUUAUUUCAUCUUAUAAGAUUUUUAUAGAAAUCAGUUAAAUGAAUUCAUGCAUUUUAUUGAUUGAUUAUAUUUAUAAAUUUAAAUAGUUAUUUUAUUAUCAUUCAUAUUUUAGACAAUGAAAUAUUGUAUAUAAUUUCUUUUUUUGUGUCAUACAUACAUAUAUUAUGAGACAUUCAUGUAUUUUUAUCCUUUCUUUAACUGGUUUUUCAUAUUUCAGGUUAUAUAUACCCCAAAAAUAAUUGAAAAAUAAAAGUACAUUUUCAAUUUGUUUCUUAAGUGAAUUAUAAAAUUUUUAAUAUGUUAAAAAUAAGAUAUUUGGAGUUUCGACAAGGAAAACUUAUAACUAACAUUAGAGAAAUUAUUGCAAAUAUUUUAUGCACAAACAAAAAUACUCUCUAUUAACUUUUUCAAUUUAAUUGUAUGUUGUAAUUGUAUUUAUUUUAUAUAAUGUUUAAAUUUUGAUCAUAUUUAAUAAAAUAAUAACAUUUACUGUUUAUAUAUAAGAAUUUGUAAUUUUAUUUUAAAUAUUUUACUUAUAUUUUUUAAAUUCGUUUAAAUAUAAUAAUUCAGUAAAUUAGUUUAACUAGUUCGAUCUAUAUUUAUUCUGCGAAUUUAUUUAAUCGGUAUUUGUUCUAUUUGAUAUGCAUCGUAUGUUUGAUCCGUAUAUUUUUUUGAUCUGCGUCCCCAUUAAUUGUCGGUGGUGUUUUCUAUUGGUACAGUAACAAAAACGAGUCACUGGUCCCUUGUCAUUGGUCCCUUGUCAUUGGUCCCUUGUUCUGAGUGUUUUUCUGAGAAAGAAUAGUUUAGUAUCAUCGAGACUAGUGGCCUAGAAAACAUUGUAUGGGUCAAAGAUCAAGAAAGUUUUGUUCAGAAAAGAAACAGUAUAAAGACAAAAGGUAGAACACUGAUUGAUACAUAUAAGCCUUUUUGGUUAAAGAGAACACUAAUAUGUACCUGUUCAACGUGUGUGACGUGUGUUGUGUCCAAAGCACUUGAAAAAGAAUAUCAGUUUUAUCUAUUUAAUAGAGUAAUCAAGUGCACAUCAUCAUUCACAUAACAACUUCUCCUCAGAGACAAGAGAGAUGCCGAUUAGCCAGAGAGUUCUGAAGCAGGUUGCAGCCUUUCCGGUUGUUUUAGCCAUCGUUUGCUAUUUCUUCUUGCCAUCAAUCAACGCGCCGGACCUCCUAAAGGGCACGAAGAACGUUCUCCAAGUGGCUAAGACCAUUCCUCUCCCUGGCGAUGGACCAGAGAGCUUAGAAUUCGAUUCACAAGGUGAAGGCCCUUACGUUGGCGUCACUGACGGUCGCAUCCUCAAAUGGCGCGGCGAAGAGCUAGGCUGGGUUGAGUUCGCCCACUCUUCUCCUCACAGGUUCAAUCUUAACAAAAAAAUGCUAACCUUCCUAUGUUUUCAUUGUUCUAUUUAGUCGUUUAAUAGAUUUUGAUCAAUGUUCAAAAAAUCAUUAGGUAGUAAUUAAACGUUUUAUAGGGGAUUAGUUGUACUUGUAUAGAUGGGACGCCUACAGGCUAUCUAAGCCGAUUUUGAAAAAUAGUUCAUAAAUAUCGUUUCGCUUAAGGCUAAUUUAUUUAUGACAGAUUUAUUAGAGGGUUGACUUCUCUACGCCCCGCAAACUACUUAAAACCACAGUCAAUCCCCCUAGACUUUUAAGCUCUUCUCCUAACCCCACAAAAUUAAAUGAUUCAUCAAAUAUCCACCUAAACUAUUUAUUUCAAGUUAAUUACACAUUUUUUUCUUAUAUAAGAGUACAUGCGUUUAGAAAUUAAAAAAACGUUUAAAAAUAGCGAUUACUCUUUAUCCGAUCCAAUAAUUUUUUUUGGAUCCAUGAUCCACACAAAAAGACCCGACACGUUAAUAGAAAAAACCUAUGCUAACAAACCCUACCUUACACGUACACCUUAAACAACCUUACGCCACUCUCGUAAAGCACAUGUAUCGAAUUGGAGAAAGACAGAGCUACUAGGUGAAGGUUCUAUUUAUUAAAGAUGGAGAAUGAGGCACGCAUAAACUAAGGAAGGAUGGUGAUUUAUGAAUGUUCUUAUAACAAACCAAAUCUAUGAAUGAUGACCUUUGGGAGUUUUAAUAAUUCUUGUUUAGUUUUGCGUCUUAUGGUUAUUUUAAUAACUUUGUGAUCCUAUAAAUGAUGUUUUCUGAGAAUUUUUAGUAAACCAUUUUUCCUUGUGUUGACUUUGAAUAUUUUCCUUUAUAGGAAAAAUUAUAUUAGACGUUGUCUACGCUGAAUCCAGAUGAUGACAUGCGAACAUGUUGUUUGACAAUUGACACUUUUGUUGUUCUCAGACAAACAUAGACUAAUAAUCUUCAAGUUAUUGUGAUGACUGUGAUGGCUUACGUUUAACAUAAUCAAGUUUACAAAUGUUUAUGUAUAUAAAACAAACUAUGUCACUACAACAAAGUGGCUCCUUACAAACGAGAACAAGAUGAUCCCUUUGUCUCUUUUCUCUUGUUUUAUGGGAAAUAAGUAAGCAACAAAAUUUUCUAACACACAGAACACAGCCCGAUGGAGAUUAUAGAACUCUGGACAGAAUAAUGUGCAAUCUCAAAAAUUCAAUAGUAAAAGUCACAAAAGAAGAAGAAUUUUUCUUGACGUGGUUGCAGCUUGUAGCGCCCUAACUCUAGCCUUUAAGACCAUCCCGGGUUCAUCUGCCACUUGCAUUGAAUAAAAAUUUCUUGGAGCUUGUAACUAAAGUUCUUCGGUAAUAUAUAGCUUUAGACAUAGGUCCUGGAACAAAAGGGAACUGAAACAUCCACCAAACCACAAAUAAUCCAAAGCAAAAAACAUAUAAGAAAACUUACAUAGAAUACCUUAGAUCGUGUUCAUAAAAAAAAGAAAAAGAAUAUUGUAGAUCGUUGCUCUCUUUUACGUUGUAAGUAAGAUUCAAAUCUUAAACUAAAAAACAAUCUCUAUGAAGCUUCCUUAAGCUUCUUUUCAUAGAGAUGAAGUAUGAACCCUAGUUUCAGAGCAAUUGAGGGCGAAAUUAUGUCGAGAGUUUCAUAUUCGGGUCUUUUAACUUAAGUCGGGUCAUACGGUUGGGUGGGGAGAUUAUCGGGUAGUUUUAUGGUCAACGUGAUUUGUCUGAUCGCGUUUUAUGAAACUAAACGCAAUCACGUCGAAAUCAUACGAUAUGUGGAAUUAAUUCAGGAAAAAUACUUUAGGGAGAAAACUAAUGAAGCAGAUUAGUUUAUGGGGUUUCUUAAUGAGCCUAAAAGUUUAGGGGGGUUUGGUGUGGGUUUAAGUAGUUUGGGGGGUGUAAAGAAGGCAUCCCUUUAUUAGAACAUUGAUUCACAUUAACCUUGCUAAUGAAUCUGACCUCCUCCCCUUUUUUUUGGUGAGUGAAGAGAUAACUGUUCAAGGCAUAAAGUAGUUCCAAGUUGUGGGAGACCAUUGGGACUUAGCUUCCAUAAGAAAACAGGAGAUCUGUACUUUUGUGAUGGUUACUUUGGAGUCAUGAAGGCCGGACCAGAGGGAGGCUUGGCCGAGUUAGUUGUUGAUGAAGCCGAAGGUCGCAAAGUCAUGUUUGCGAACCAAAUGGAUAUAGACCAAGAGGAAGACGCUUUCUACUUCAAUCAGCGAUAAAUACCACUUCGAGUAAUUAAAAAAUUACAUCUUCGUUAAUUUAGAUUCACGGUCUUAAUAUUUUUUAUCUUGUUGGUAACAUUAGCAAAACAUGGAAAAUGAAAACAUAAAUAAAUUGAAUAAUAAAUAAUCUAUAUAUAGAAUAGAUUAAUAGAAUGUGUAACAUAGCCAAUAAAUCUAAAAAGUGAUCGUAUAUAUAUUAUAUCAAACAAACAUAUAUACUUGUAAGUUGUAACCAACUUGAGUAUGUAUUAUGUUUGUUUUGUUGGACAGGCAAGUGUUCUACGUGUAUAUGUCAGGGGAGAAGACAGGAAGAGUAAUUAAAUACGAUAUGAAGAAGAAAGAGGCCACAGUUAUAAUGGACAAACUUCAUUUACCUAAUGGUUUAGCUCUAAGCAAGGACGGAUCCUUUGUACUCACCUGCGAAAGUGGUACAAAUACUAUCCAUAGAAUAUGGGUCAAGGGUCCUAAAGCCGGGACCAACGAGGUUUUCGCCAAGAUUCCGGGUCCUAUGGACGAUAUCCGACGCACGCCGACAGGAGAUUUUUGGGUGGCAUUGCACUCCAAAGACAGUUUGUUUACUCGUGUGUUUCUAAGUCACUCUUUUGUUGGAAAGUUUUUCAUCAAAACGCUUAAUUUAAUGGUGGGAAACCUCAUCGAAUUGUUGUGAAACUCUCUGGAGAGACAGGAGAGAUUCUUGAGAUACUUGAGGACAGAAGGGAAGACGAUGAAGUAUGUUAGUGAAGCAUAUGAGAGAGAAGAUGGCAAGUUAUGGAUUGGGUCUGUGUAUUGGCCGGCCGUUUGGGUUCUUGAUAAAUCUGUUUACGGUCUCAAAUGAGCUAGCGAAAAGUAGUAAUUUGAUGGUAUGAUCUUCUUUUUAACUUGUUAGAAGACAU
rnacentral:lncRNA from 1 species